rnacentral:lncRNA from 1 species
ACAAAUAAAAAUAAAGAGGGAAAAACUUCAAAUAUUUAACGUUUUCUCAUUUUAAUACCCAAUGGUUAAAACUGUAUCACUUUAGUACCUUGCGAUUUCGUUUUUCUUUUUUCGUAAGCACUUCUGUUAACUCUUUGUUAAAAUAUAGAGGAAAAUACUUCAUAUACCCCUCGUGUGGCUUAUCUUUCGAAUUUUUACUUUAGUAUCCUAUAAUUUUAAUUUUCCCAUUGUUUUCAUAAAAAAAAUCGGGUAAACUUCAAAUACCACCCCUGUGGUUUCGCACUUUCUCACUUCAGCACCAUGUGGUUUAAAGCGUAUCAAGUUAGUGUUCUGUGGUUUCAUUUUUAUCUUUUCGUCAGCUUUUCUGUUAAUAUUUCGUUAAAUUAUAUACAAAAAACUUCAGAUACCCCACCUAGGUUUAUUGAAUAUUCACUUUAGUACCCUUUAGUUUUAACUUUGUCACUGAUCUAACGAAAAAAUUAGUGGAAUCGAUAAUAAAAAGAUAAAAAUGAAACCAUAGGGUAAAAAGAUAAAAAUGAAACCAUAGGGCACUAAAUUAAUACACUUUAAAGCACAUGGUACUAAAGUGAGAAAGUGUGAAACCAUAGGAGUGGUAUUUAAAAUUUUUCCUAAAAAAAAUAACGAAAACAAGGUAACGGAAAGAGAAACACGAAACUGCAUAUUACUAAACUGAUAACGAAAAAGGGGUAACGGAAAGAGAAACACGAAACCACAUAUUACUAAACUGAUACGCUUUAAGCUUUAAGGUACUGGAGUGAAAAAGCGAUGAAUUACAGAAACGGUAUUUGAAGUUUCCUUUAUAAGAGAUAACCAAAUAAAUCUCUAUCAUGUCCCUCUCAUUUUGGGGUGCCUCCUCUUUUGAAACUCCAAUUUUGUCCAAAUUCGACGGCGACCACCAUUUGAAAACAGUUCCUUCGAUUUUUUGCGAACUAAAACGUUUCUGCGACGGCGAAGCAAAAGAUAACAAAACAUAACAAAACAUUUCUGCAUGUGUUUAAAGACACCAUCAUCAGAGAAGGAAACAUGAACAAACAUCCUUAUCAAACAAUACCAAACACUUUGAUUAAAAUGCUUGAUCACAUCAUUGAUACAUGAAAUGGAUGAGAGAGAGAAAUAGAUAGAGAGAGAGAGAGAUCACAAAUGCUACUAAAAAGUCCAAAAGCUUGUUGUAGAAAAGCAAUCCAAGUAUUUUAUUUUAUUUUUUUUAUUUUUAAAUCCAAUGGUGUGGUGACAACUUAUCACAAGUAGUUCAUUAGUUGGCCACUCAUGACUCUGCUGAAUAUUUGCUGCUCUACUGACCUACAUUAGAUUUGAAAAUGUGGAUAGAUAGAAAAAAAAUGAUAUGAAAAUCUUUUGCUUUCUCCAGGUGACACUCCUAUAGUAAUUAACAUGUGACAAUUAGCAUAAAUUUUAUUUAUUUUUAUAUUAUAUCAAUAUUUUUCAUUAUUAGUUUGUCAUUAGUCUUGUAUAAGUUGUGUGAUACAGCUAAAUAACUUGCUGAGAUGUUGAUUCACUUCAUCAAAAAAAAAAAAAAAAAAAAUUCUACUAUUUACUAAUUAAUUUUUUUCCGUCAUAUUUAGGAAUGAAAUGGUUACGUAUUAGUAAUUUUUGGAUUGUACCGUAUAAUACAUGCACGGAACGAUAACAAAAUAAUAACAAUACUGUAAGAUUGAGUGUUACGAAUUUAUAUUUCGAUAGCCGGUUCUUAUAGAAAGAUAUUUUUUGGCAUUUUAGCCUUUAUUUUAAGAUCUCGUCCAUCGGAUUUUUACAUGUAUAUAAAUUGAGUCGUAUCGUGCUAAUAUUUUGUCGGCAAUUAAAUCUCUAAAUCUAAUUAUGUAAUUAUGCAAGGAAUAAUUAAGAGAUAAGAGAAGUGCUUUUGUUAAAGCUUUGUUGGGUUAAUUGCAUACACGUUCCUGCAAACAUGGUGAAUUACAGAUAUAUCCCUGCAAAACUCACUUUUCAUAAGUUGUUCCUGUAAAAGUCCUAAUAUAUGCAAAUAUGUCCCUGCCGUUAGGGUCUGUUAAAAAAAUUUCGUUAACUACAGUUAAAAACUUAAUCAUGUUUAAUUAAUAACGUGAAUUGACGGUUUUACCCUUCUACCUCUUCCUCUUCCCGCUUCUUUGUUCCCGGCGGGGGAGGAGAUGCGGCGGCUGCGGCGGCGGUGAACCCUCUCCCUCUUCCUCUUCCCCCUUCUUCUUCCUCUCCCUCUUCCUCUUCCCUCUUCUUCGUCGCCGGCGAGGGAGGAGAUGCAGCGGCGGCGGCGAACCCUCUCCCUCUUCCCUCUUCCUCUCUUUCUUCCUUUUCCCUCUUCUUCUUCCUCUCCUUCUUUCUCUUCCCUCUUCUUCGUCGCCGGCGAACCCGACCCUGACCUCGCCGAAGCGCCACCGCUGCCGUCCGCUCUAGCGGCCCGAAGAGAGAGAGAAAGAGCAAGAGGAAAUAUUUUUGGAGGGACAUAUUUAUGAGAGCAAAAAUAUCAUUUCACGAAUCCACUGUUAAAAAAUAAACAGUUCACUAACGGAUUCUAAUCAGAUGGACAUAUCUACAUAUAUUAGGAUUUUUGCAGGAACAACUUAUGAAAAUUAAGUUUUGUAGAGAUAUAUCUAUAAUUUACCAUAUUUGCAGGGACAUGUAUAUAAUUAACCCUUUGUUAAACAUGAUAAAACUCUUAUGCUUUCCACAACAACAGCAAAAAAAUAAUAAUAAUAACAACUACUGAAAAAAAGGAAAGGAAAACAAUCAAACGUGUAGCUCAAAACCUCAAUUUGCGGCAGAUAUUCCCAAAAUUAAUUUCAGAAACAAAAAAGCAAGAAAGAAAAACCUGAACAAAACAAUUUCAGAAACAAAUCAGAAACAGAGAAACUGAAACAAGAUCUGUUAACUCAAAAUUGAGGCUCAUCACAUCCAAGCAACAACAUAAAUUAUAUAUAAAAAUCACAAAGACAAUGUAUGCUGAAGCAGGAAAAGUUUUUUGUUUUUUUUUCUCUUUUUCUUUUUCUUUUCAAUAUCUCUGCUAAUUUCCUCUCUGAACAUUCUCUCUUCCUGUGCUAUUUACAGUAAUCAAAAUGCUGUUUCUUUUUUUUUCUUUCUUUUGUUUCCCCCCUCUUCUUUGCUGCUACUGAUACAUAGUGAACCAAAAAUCGAAAUCGAAAUCGAAAUCGAAUUACGCGGCGCUGUCGCCGGAUUCGUCGAUGACGGCGCGCGCGAUGGAGAAGCCGUCGAGGAAGUCGCUGUCGGAGUCGAUCUGCAGCUCCUUGAACAUGGCCAUGACCUGGAUCAUCGUGGGGCGCCGCAGCGGGCGGUCGUCGAGGCACUGGCACGCGAUUUUCAGGUACUGGCAGAGCUCGGCCCCGCCCGACGGCUUCAAUUCGGGAUCGAAGAUCUCCGCGCUGCGGUUCUCCCUGACCAUCUGCUUGGCCCAGCCGACCAGAUUGUUGUCCCCGAACUCCUGCGGGUCGAUCGGCUUCCGCCCCGACAGCAGCUCCAGCAGCACGACCCCGUAGCUGUACACGUCGCCCUUGGUCGUGCAGCGGAAGCUCUGGUAGUACUCCGGGGGCACGUAUCCGGGCGUCCCCGCGAGCGUGCUCACGCUGAGGUGCGUGUCGAGCGCGUUCACGAGCCGCGCCAUCCCGAAGUCCGACACCCGCGCCUCCAGGUUCUCGUCGAGCAGCACGUUGCUCGACUUCAUGUCCCGGUGUAUGAUGUGCGGGAUGCAGCUGUGGUGCAGGAACGCGAGCCCGCGCGCCGCCCCGACCGCAAUCUUCUUCCGCGCCGCCCAGUCCAGCUGCUGCUUUUGCUUUUGCUGCUGCUGCUGCUGCUGAAAACUUGUUUUCUCGCUCGCGGAGUCGCGGUGCAGGAGCAGGUCGAGGCUGCCGAACUGCAUGAACUCGUAGACGAGCAGGCGCUCGUCGCCGACCUUGCAGUAGCCGAGCAGCGGCACGAGGUUGCGGUGCUUGACCUUGCCGAUGGUCUCCAUCUCGGCGGUGAAUUCGCGGUCGCCCUGCCCGGUCACGUGGAUCAGCUUCUUGACCGCGACGACGGCGCCGUCGGCGAGCCGCGCCUUGUGCACCUCCCCGAACCCGCCGGAGCCGAUCAGGCUCUCGGCGCCGAACCCGUUCGUCGCCUCUAGCAGGUCGGCGAACGUCAGCUUCCGCAGCGGCUUCUCGAACGUCGCCACGUUGAUGCUCAGCGGCUCCAGCGCCCCCGACAGCUUCCACGACGCCGUCCCCGACGACGACAGCGCCGCCGCCGGGAGGCUCUCCACGUACCCGGCGCCGCCCUUCUUCUGAUCACGCCUUCUCAGCAGCUUAUACAGCGCCGCGACGAGCGCAAGGACGAUGAGGAGGGAGAGCGCGGCUCCCACCAGUAUGCUCCACCCGACGAAUUGCCGCCUCCGCCGCAGCUCAGGCUGGGACCACCCGGGACUACUAUUGCCCGCUGCGCCUCCUCUGUGGGGCCCGCGCCCGCACGGGGGGAGCGGGACCCCGCAGAGGCCCGAAUUGUUCGCGUAGCGCGACGCCGGGAAAGUGGUGAGCUGACCGGUGGUCGGGAUCGGCCCCGUGAGGCCGUUGUUGGACACGUCGAAGUCCGCGAGGAACGUGAGCGCGCCGAGCCCCCCGGGGAUGGCGCCGGUGAGGCGGUUGUGCGAGAGGUCGAGCGCGCCGAUCGACCGCAGCCCCGCGAAGCUCUCCGGGAUCGCCCCGGCCAGCUCGUUGUGGCCCAAAUUGAGCACCUGCAGGUACGCCAUCGAGCCGAGGCUCCCCGGGAUGCCGCCGGAGAGCGCGUUGUACGACAAGUCCAGGUAGAUCAUGCUGCCGUUGCCGGCGAAGGUGUACACCGUCGUGCCGGUGUAAAUCCUCGUCGACGGGCAAUUGUGCACCGGCGGAAACUCCGCGAGGCGCUCCGACCGGAUGUCGGAGAAUUCGAAGAGCGCGCCGGCGCCCGGGCAGAUGUUCCCGGCCUCGUUGCGCAGGAAGGCGAAUUGCUUCCCGGAGGCGAUCCCGGGGGUUAUGAGCCCGGCCUGCGACGCCAGCGACGCCGGUAUCGGCCCCGACAGCCGGUUGCUGUUCAGAUCGAGCCAAAUGAGGUUCCGGCAAUCGCCGAGCUCCGCGGGGACGCGUCCCGACAGCGAAUUUUCGUUCAAUUGGAGGAUCGCGAGGCUCUGCAGCGAUCCCAGCGCCGCGGGGACGCUCCCCGUGAGCCGGUUUCCGGCCAAUGACACCCACACCAGCUUCGAGCACCGCGCCAGCGCCCCCGGGACGCUCCCGCGGAUCGAAUUGUAGCUGACGACGAGCGUCUCGAGGACGCUGCCGUCGCCGACUGCGCAGAGGCUGCUCGGGAGCUCGCCGGAGAGGUCGUUGGCCCACGCGACCAACUCGACGAGCUUGGGGAGCGCGGCGAGCGCGGCGGGGAUGGGGCCCGAGAGGUUGUUGAAGCUCAGGUCGAUCGACCGGAGCUCGGCGCAGCGGCCCAGCUCCGGCGGGACCGCGCCGGAGAGGGAGUUGCCGGGGAGGAGGAGGCGCCGGAGCGCGGGCAGGUCCGCGCACAGGGUCGCCGGGAUCUCGCCGGAGAGGUCGUUGGAGCCGAGGUCGAGCACCUCGAGCGCGGAGCAGUUCGCGAGCGCGGCCAACGGGUUCGGCCCGGAGAUGUUGUUGAAGGGGAGCCGGAGCUCCCGGAGCGCCGGGAGCGUCGCCACGACGCGCGCGACGAAGUCGCCGGAGAGCUGGUUGCCGCCGAGGCUCAGGGCCCGGAUCCCGGGGCAGGACGCGAACCCCGCCGGGAUCUCGCCGGAGAGGUUGUUGUGCGAGAGGUCGAGCACCGCGAGGCCCAAGCUCGAGCACGACGAAGCACCGCCGGGGAGGGGGCCGGAGAGCUUGUUCGCGGAGAAGUUGAGGUAGCUCAAUCCCCCGCAGGCGGAGAGGGAGUAGCGCAAGAGCGCGGGAUCGGAGAACUGGUUGCGGGAGACGUCGAGCACCGAGAGGGAAGACCCGAAUUUGAAGUCGCCGGCGCCGGAGAUCGAGUUCCGGGACAGGUUGAGGAAGCUCAGAUUGCGGCAGUAGGACAAGAGCUCGCCCGGGAUGGUCCCGUUCAAGGUGUUCGACGAAAUGUCAAUGCGCUCCAAACUACACACAACUCCUCCACCACCACCACCCCCACCACUACUAGUGUUGUUGUUGUAGGAGAGAUUGCCGUAGAAGGAAUUGGAGUGGAGGUCGAGGGAGCGGAGGAGGGGGAGGGAGAGGAGGGGGUCGAUGCGGAGGGGGCCGACGAGGCCCAUGCGGCUGAGGUUGAGUGCCGUCACGCCAUCUGCGGAGCAGGAGACCCCGGUCCAAGAGCACGGGGACGAGACCUGGGACCAGCUCGAUAACAGGUUAUCGGGAUCGGAUUCGACGGAGUAGAGCUUGAACGAGAGCAACGCCGCGGCCUCGUCGUCGGUCUCGGCCGCGGCCGACGACGACGACGACGACGGAGAAUUCGAAAGGAUCACCAUCAUCAUCAUCAUCACCAUCAAGGGCACAAAAGCUGUGAUCUCCAUUAAUGGUAGCUCUAGCUCCAACUACUACUGCUACUACUGCUACUGCUACAAUUGGAUCAAAAACUGGGUUUUUUUGGGGGUGGGGGGGUAAAAUUGAUUGAAAUUUAUGGCUCUCACAUGUUGAACACCAUGGAGUUGAAUCAGGGGAUUCACAAAAAGGAGAAAAAGGAGAGAUUUUUUUAGCUUGAUCGAUCGCAAACUAGUUCACAAGAAGCUGCAGGGGAGGAGCAGGGGAUCGGGAAUUGGAGAUGAUCAGGGAUCGGUGAAAUCGAAAAUAGAUGGGGAAAAAAAAAAAUCGGAUUUUUAGGAGGAAAACGCAGGAAAAAAGUGAUUUUGAAUCCAAAAAAAGGAAAAAAAUCUCACCUUUGGAGCUUUUGGGCUCCAAUCUCAUAUGGGUUUUGUUGUUUGUGUUUGUGUUUGUGUGUGUGUGUGUGUGUUUGGAGUAGUGAUUUAAUGGGUUUUUAGAGAGAGAGAGAGAGAGAGAGAGAGAGAGAGAGAGAGAAUUUAGGAAGAAAUCGAGGAAGAGGAUUAAUUAUUUUAAUUCAUUUUUAAAUAUUUUGGAAACAUUUUUGAGAUUUUUUUUAAAAAAAUUUUAUGGGGUAAAAAAAAAAAAAAAGAGGAAAUGAUUUGUUUAAUUAAAGAGUGGAGGGAAUAGAGAUAGAGAGAGAGAAAGAAGAGAGGGAGAGAGAGAGAGAGAGGUGCUAUGCAACUAAUUUUUUAAGUUUUUAAUUUUUUUAAUUGUUUGCUUUUUUUUUUUUGUUUCUUUAUUCUUGUUUUAUAUAUAUUUUUUAAUGUUUUUUUUUUAUAUAUUUUUCUCAAUUUCCGAGUCUGGUCAAACUUGGGAUUUGCUUCCCCCAAGUCUCUCUCCCCUCCCCCUUUUUCCUGGCCCUCUACCCUUUUCCCAAAAAGAAAUAAAAAAUAAAAAAUAAAAUAAACCCAAAAUUUUGAAAUCUCUUCUCCCAAUUUAUACUUUUUCACCCCUACAUAAUAACUUGUAAAUAUAUUUAUUUUUCACAUUAUUAAUUGGCAUGGUUUUGAUAGAGUUUUGAGAUUAAAAAAAAAAAAGAAAUUGAAGUUACUGUUUUCUAGGAGGUUCAAUUUUAAAAAUUCAAUAAUUUUUUUAGAUUGUUUUUUAUAUGAGAUUAACACUGGAGAUGCUAAGUUCAAAUUUUGCCAGUCUUAUUAGUCUAUUAUUAUGCAUAUUAAAAGAUUUCUGAGUAUAAAAAUGAGAAUUUAUCUAAGAUAAAAAAUAUAAAAAAAAAUGUUACCAUAGUUAAAUUUAUUGCACAUAGAUGAAUUUAUUGAAUUUUGUUUUUGUUUAGUCUUUGGUAAGUUUUAAAGAAUAUUAGUUGUUUCGUUUAGUUUCACGUGGUAUUAGGGUCCGAGAUUAUAUUGAGUUCGAAUUUCACCAAAUUUUUAGUCUCAUUUAUGUUUCUCGUCUAUUAAAAUAUCUCAAGCUCUGAUACAAAAACGUGUGUUGAGAUGAAAGCAUAAACAGUUGUUAGCAUAGUCAAAUUUAUUAUUAACAUAUAAAUUUAUUAAAUUUGAUCACUAUAUACUUAUUGAAUUUGAUCAGAUUCAGUAAAUUUGCUGCGUCUUUAAUAUCACCUUCUAAUUAGAAGGUUAUUAUUAUAUAUAUAUAUAUAAUAUUCCCCCUCUUUAUUUCUUCUAAUUUAGAGUUGUAGAAGUUUCACUAAUUUUAGUCAAAUAGCAUAAAUUUUUAAUUUAGUAACCGCAUGAAUAGAGAGGAGGGUUUAAGUGUUGAGUAUUUUGAUUUCAUUGUGGUUAUCAUUAUCCAAUAAUUGAUCAAUAAAUAUAUUAAUUACUCAUAUUUUGAUCAUAUAUUGUAGUAAAUUUUUGCCUUGUUCAAUUACUUUUCCAUUUUCUAAGCUAAUUUGGCUCUUUUUUUUUUAUCAUAUAUAAUAAAUAUUUUUUCCCCACCAAAGAGUAAGUUGUGUAGGAGUAAGUAUUUUCAAAAUGGAAAAUGUGAAAUAAUAAAGCAAUGAACCAUUUUAACAAAGAAAAUUAGAAAUGGGGUAUUAAAUAAAACAUUGCAAUACAUGUCACAACCACCAAAUUAAGAAAACAAAGGGCUAAUUGGUGGUUGGUACCCGAGAUUUAAGUUCGAAUCCUAAUUGAUUCACAUUUUCAGCUAAAUUUAUUUCUAAAUGAAAUAAACGAAGCGGGUAACGUGCUACCUAUCUCUCAAAAAAUAGAAAACAAUUUAUGUGAUCCUCUAUACAUCAUAUUGUAAUUGCUCUCCACAUUUUUCUCCUUGAUUUGUGAUGUAUUUAUUGCACUGUUCUUAAUCAUUCACCAACAUCAUUCCACAAUAAAUUUAACAAAAAAACAAAAAAGAAAUCACUUUUUUCUUUAUUUUUUCAAAGUGAGAACACGAUAUAAGCAAUUCGCUAACGGUUGGAUCUAAAUAUUUUGGACACGUCCGAUCUCAACCUAAAACAUCAAUUCAGGUUUCAGAUAAUACGAAGUCAUCAAGUUGAGUUUGAAUGAUUUACAACUACAUGCAAUUCGAUUCAAAUCGAAACUUGAUAUACUAGGUCAGGUUAUAUUACAGAUAGCGCGAACUCACUCAAAAUCAAGUUCGAAUCACGGCCAUAUACAAUUCGAUUCAAAUCGAGAUUCGCACGUUAGCGAGGUCUACGAAAAACCAACCCUAGCUAUGAAAUAACUCAAAACCUAAGAUGUAAAUUGAAGAGCCCCAUAGAGCCUCAAAAAGCACUUGGCUUAAUAUGCAACCUCAAACUCAAAAAGAAUCCAAAGCCCCAGCCACUAUUCUUUAUCAUUAACACACUUUUAGAACCUUCUUAAAAGAAAAGGAAUAAUAGAAAGAGCCCUGAAUUUUUAUUUAUUUUUUUUUUUUUGAUAGGUCACUAAUUAGGGCAACAAGUUAUAUACAUGCAUGGUGCACAAGAAGUCAAGGGGCAUUAAAAUGUUUAUAAAUAAACCAACCACAUUGUUAUUAAAUGCUAGCUUAGGUGUACUAAAGUGCUUAAGAUUUUCUACCUCUACAUGGUGAUCCUACCAUAUCUUUUAUAAGUCAAGGGGGGGAGAUAUUAAAAGAUUCACAUGCUUAGGACAAUAUCACACAAUUUUAGGGUUAAUAUUUGGGUUAAAUUACAAAAACCUUCUCCUCACGCUUUGCUUUACUUUCUGUCUCAGUUUUUCUCGUACAUAAAAUUUUACUUCAAUUUGAACCUGUAUUUUAUUACUAUGUCAAAUUUGCAUUUAAUUUCAAAUGCUUCGAUCGACGAUGUCACAAAUUUAGGGUUUAAGUGUUGGGUUAAAUAAACAAAUAUUUUCCUUACGUUUUAUUUUUUGUCUCAAUACAUAAAAUUUUGUUUCAAUUUGAACGUGUAUUUUAUUACUGUGUCAAAUUUGCAUUUAAAUUAGAGCAAAAUUUUAUGCAAGGCAAUAAUUAAGACAUAAGAUAAAUCUUAAGAGGGAUUUUGUUAUUUAGUGUUUUUUUUUUUUUUCUUUUUGGGUGGGUGAGUAGUACAUAGCUAGGGGUGGGGUUGGUUUUUAUGGGGUGUUUAGUGCAUGGUUUUCAAUUAGGGUUUUUUAUAGGGCAAAAAUUUAUGUACCAUAAAUGUGUACUAGAGAGGAUAAUGGUAGGUAAUAAGGGUGAGAUACCCUCUCCAAAGAUGUACUUUUACUUUAUAAUUAAUGGCAUGUGGAAAAUAUUACAUAACACAUUAUUACCAAAUAUCUAACUUAGAGGGGAAUCUUAAAUCAAAUUGCUAUCAAAAAUUGAUGGAAAUAUUUUUUCCCAAAAAAAGGGAAAAAAAUGAGAAAGAAAAGUGAAACUUAUUCUAUAAAGAUUCCUCUACUUAUUAAUAACUUAAACUUAAAUUUUUUAUUCGAUUCGAGCUGUUCGCUCUGGUUUCAUCUAUUUUUUAUAUAAUCAUUACGAGGUAUUUUAUUAAUUUCAUAAUAAAAAGUUUUAGAAACUAGCUAGUUUUCUAGUUGAAAAAGUUUUCUAUCUGUUCAGUUCUAAAAAAAAAAAAAUUUGCUUUUUCGAAUUUUUAUUCAAAAAAUAUUUUCCAUGAUAUUUUUUUUCGGAAAAAUAUAUAAGAUUUGUUAAUAUCCUCUGUAUAUAAAUAGCCCUUAAAAUUAAAAUGGUGGUUGCUACUCAAUAAUUUAAACAAAAUAUAAAAUUACUUAUGAGAAUAUAUAUAUAUUAAAAAAAGAGAUAUUUUUAAUUUUUAAUUUUUAAUAAUAAAUAAUUUAUUUAAAUAUUCGAAAGUCCCUAUCAAAUAAACCGCUAAUUACGGUGGAGCGUGGACUCCUCAAAUUGGUUUUGUCCCCAUCGAGAGUGAUUAUGGGGAUUGACCCCACCCAAACCAACCCCAGUGUGUGGGCCCCACACCACUUCUCACCAAGCGCACGUGUGGCCCCUGUGUAAAAUUACGAAAAUGCCCUUCCAACGUUGUAAGCAUGAGGUGAGAUCACCUCCCCAUUUAUUUUUGGGUUAAUUGCAUAGAGGCCCUCGCAAAUAUGAUGAAUUACAGAUAUUUUCCUACAAAGUUCAAUUUUUAAAUGUUAUCCCUGCAAAAGUCGUAAUAUUUUCAGAUACGUUUCUGCCGUUAGGAUCCGUUAGAGAAAUUUAAUUAACCACAAUUAAAAUAUUUAACUAUGGUUAAUUAAUAAGGUGAAUUGAUAAUUUUAUUCAUCGUUCUCUUCCUUUUCCUCCUUUUCCUCCUCCUUUUCUCCUCUUUCUUCUUCUUUGUCUUUGUCGUCGAUGAUCCGAUCGUCGUGCCCGCGUGGGUCGUCGUCACGAGCACUUCCGACGGCAUCAGCCACACCUACGCCUUCCGCCUUGCCGUUGCGAGCCUCAGCCUCGUCCUCGUCGGCCGCAACUCCGACAAGCUCCGUGACGUCGCCGCCACCGUUCGCUCCCACAGCCCGAAAAGGAAGAGUAAGAGGAAGAGGCCAAAAAUUAAGAGGGCAUUUCUACAAAUAUAUACCAGUUGAAGCUUUUGGAGGGACAUAUUUGUGAAGGCAAAAAUAUCAUUUCACGAACCGACUAUUAAAAAAUAAACAGUUUUCUAACGAAUCCUAACCAGAGGAACAUAUCUGAAAACAUUAAGACUUUUGCAGGAAUAACAUCUGAAAGUUGAACUUUACAGGAAUAUAUCUGUAAUUCACCAUAUUUGCGAGGACUUGUAUAUAAUUAACCCUUUAUUUUUUACUUAAAUUACAGAAAAAUCCCUUAUAAAUUAUCUGCUUUUUUAUUCCCUUCUUAACUUUCGGAAAUCUAUAUUUUACCUCCUUAAUAUUUCAAGUUGUUGCAUUUAGCCUCCCUCUGUCACAAUUCCAUCACUAUUCCGUUCAUUUUUUAUAAUUAAUGUCGAAAACAUCAUUCAAAAUGACAUAAAUAUAUUAAAAAAUUAUUUUUUUACUUAUAAAAGAGGUAAAGAUAAUUUGGUCAUUUUGUGCUCUCCAUUAGCGCUGUACACUCUUGAAAAUAUUUUUAAAAUUUUAAGGGCGUAAAACAUAUGCUUUUGAAAGUCAGAGAGGAAAAGCGAAAAGAGGUGUAUUUACAAGAAUUUAAUCAUUAUUUUGUGUUAAUUUCAUACAGUUUCCUGUAAACAUAUCGAAUAGCAAAUAUAAUUCCAUAAAGUUUAACUUUUUAUAUUUAUUGUUACAAAAGUCCAGUGAUAUUUAUAUUUGUCUCUCUGAUUUGUUAUCGUUAAAACAUAAUUUAUUUUUAACAGUAUAUAAAUGAAAUGACAUUUUUAUCAUCAUAAAUGUAUUCCUUCAAAAGCCCCGACUAUUAGAAUCAUAUAAAAAAUGUCCUCUCAAAAGUUUCUAACGAUUAUCUUUUUUCUUUCUGUUAGCACAAACAAUUAAAAAGGGUAAAAAUGUCAAUAUACCUCAUUCACUAAUCAGAGUUAAGUAAUUUAUCUAUAGUCAACUAUAUUUUUUUAAUGGAUCAUAACAAUAAGAAUUAUUUGAAAAUAUUACUACUUUUUCAGAAUAAAUAUGAAAAGAUGAACUUUGUAGAGAUAUAUCUACUAUUCGAUAUAUUUACAGAGAGCUGUAUGCAAUAAUCCUGUUUUUUCUUUUUUGGAAUUAGAUCUUUACUUUUUUGGGUCGUAAAAUAUUAAAAUAAAAAUAUCUAAAAUUGCCUAAAUUUUGCCAUAUAAAUUAUGAAAGUAGUUUAUUGCAUUGCAUGCAUCUCAGAUAAAAUGUCUGUUAAAAAAAUUUAGUAUUUACCAAAACUAUCAGAAAUGAUGGUUAUAUAUAUAUAUAUAUAUAUAUAUAUAUAUAUAUGAAUGUACGGGCCAAUAUUUAGCUCCAUGCGAAUAAUAUAGAUUACAUGAUGUGGAAUAUAUGCAAAAUCCAACUUGCCACUAAAGUGGAAACUGCUCGAGUGAAUCAAAAUCGAUAUUUUUGUUUUUUUUUUAUCAUUCCCAAAAGAACAAAUUGGUCAACAAGAUUAUGAUUCUUAAUUUCUUUUCUUUGCAUAANUUUUCUUCCCACAAGCCCCUUUGCUUUGGAAAUAUCACUUGGAAUCAUAUUCUUAUGUGAAUUUUAAAUAUAUAGCAACUUAAAAAAUAAAUAUUAUGGUCUAAUGUCAUUAUCGAGAAAAUUUGACCUACAAUUUAGUUAUUAAUUUAUGAACUUGUUGCUUCAUUUAGUAAGCUAAGAAGUCAAAUUUGUAAUGCCAUUUCAAAAUUAAGAAAAAGUUAUUAUAAAAAUGGAAGUUUAUUGACUCCUUUUUGUGUUUGUGCUUAUUCAAUGAAUCAUUAAACAAAUAUUAUAUGCCCAUCAUAUACACUCCUUUAAGUCCUAAAAAAAUAAAAUAACCUGUAUUGAUGGUAACAAUAUUCUUUUCAAACUAAGGAAAAGAUAAAAUAUUUUUAGACAAUUUUUUUUUUGUGAUUUUAAACAUAUUAUUAUAUAUUAAACUUGAUAUUUUCGCGAGUUUAUGUACAACAAAGCUCAAUUCUCUUAAUUUCUUUUAUUCUAAAGUCUUCGUAAUAGCUUCUCGCUGCAAUCCAAUUAGAAGCGCCAAAUUGAAGUUUCAGCGCUCUACAGAUUUACGACCUCAUUUCAGUUCCUAGCUAUGGCAGAAGUAAAAAACUUUUUCUUCUGAUACCAAAUUAAAUAAUAUUUAGUAGUUAUUGUUCUUCAAAAAUUUAAACUAUCAGAAAAUAAUAUUUUUACCCGACNACAUUUUUUUUUUUGGUUUAUCUAAAAUAUUCAUAUUAGUAUAUAAGAGGCUGAAAAAAAUUACAAGAAGUAAGUAAUUUUUUUUUAUUUUUUUUAUAAUUAAUUUGUCAUCUUCUAAAUUGAAGUCAAUAACUAUAUUUUGAGGACGAAUAUAACAAACUAAACAAUAAAAAUAGACAUAAGCAACUGUUUAUAGUAAUAAAAAGAGUAAAAAUAAUUGCAUAUGACUUCCUGCAAUGAUAUCAAAUAAUAAAUAUAUCCCUACAAAACUUAAGUUAUCAGAUUUGUUUCUCCAAAAGUGCUCCCGGCUGUGUGUAAAUAUAUUCUUCUGUUAUCAAAAUUUAGAUAACCAUGAGUUAAAAAAGCUAAUUACGGUUAGCUAUAUAAGGGGUAAAAUUAUCUUUUGCCCUUUUAUAUAUAUAAUUUGUAUUUCAAUAUUGAGUUUCCUCAUCUUUCUCAUCCUCUUCUCUUUAUUCACGGUGAUGACGAGACCUACGGCGGUGGCGAAAUCGAAGGCAAGGGCUGCGGUUGUGGCAAAAAUGAGAAACGUGGCACAUACUGCGGCGAAGGUGAGGAGAGAAAAAGAAAAUGAGUUUUUUUUUACAGAAACAAAUUUAUAAGGAUAAAAUAGUCAUUUUAUAUACAUAUCGUUUAAAAAAUUAACGGUGAAUCAAACAACACUAUUCACUCGUGGGAUUAGGGUAGAUCGGGGGGGUUACAGCACUGCACGGGUUGAUACGCAUAGCACCUAGUAUCUAUCAUAAAUGACUACUAGGGUAUCUAAUCCCAUUUGCUCCCCUAGCUUUCGUCUCUCAGUGUUAGUAUCGGCCCAGCAGAGUGUUUUCGUCGUUGGUGUUCUUAAUUUCCGAAUGAACCAGAAUUUUCGGAGGGACAUAUUUACAAACCAGAGAAUUUUUAAAAGGGUAAAUCUGACAACUUAAAAUUUUGUAAGAAUAUAUUUGCUAUUUGAUACUUUUCUAGGGACCCGUGUGAAAUUAAUUCAAAAAAAAAAUUCCACAAUAUUCCGCGAGGGGCAUUUCGGUCACAACACAAUUAAAAUAAAAAAACGUUUUUAAAAGAAAAAAGAGAAAAUAUGUGAGGGUACGGCACGUGCGGGGCCCACGACCCCCGCUCGUGCGCGUAAUCUACUGAGCUAACCCCGCGGGGCCCAGGGUCCCCCAAUCACUUGCGCACACGUGUCGGUCGCACGUGCGAAUUACGUGACUUACUAACCCAUCCCCCACCCUUUCUCCGUACGGGUACCGAAAAUGUACCCAACCCCACCAUUAAUUAAUGGAUAAAUAAUAAUUUAAAUAUUAUGCUCAAUUAAUGAUGGAGAAAUUAGUAUUAAUUACUCUUGCUAUCAUUAUAUGCGUUGUCUCUUAUGGGAUUGAUAUUUUGGAUAAUUUAUGCUUAACUAGUGUAGUAACCUGUACCAAUAGAUAAUUGGAGAAAGAACAGAAAACGACGACAAAGAAAGAGGAAACAGCGAUGACAAAAGCGACAAUAAAGGGUGGAUUUAUUUUGCCGAUGAAGGAAGGUGAUAGUCGAAGGUAGAAGAGGAACAGUUUGGUUUAGUGGAGAGGUGCGAUUCGAUUCGGUUCGGUUCGCUCGUUGAUAAAGGAAGGUGACAGUCGAAGGAAGUGAAAGAGGAACAGUUUGGUUUAGUGGAGAGCUGCAAUUCGAUUCGGUUCGGUUCGGUUCGGUUCGGUUCGGUUCGCUUGCUGAUGAAGAAAAGUGACAGCCGAAGAAAGUAGAAGAGGAACAGUUCGAUUCAAUGCAGAGGCGCGAUUCAGUUCGGUUUAAGUAAAAAAAGAAAAAAAAAAUUGGUUUGGUUCAAACAAAAAAAGAGAAAAACACGUGGAGGACUUGAGUCUAUUCGGGGGAGCCCACAUUCAAUAAUGAUUGAUUCGGUUCAAGUAAAAAAAAAGAAUAAAUCGGUUCGGCUCAAGCAAAAAAAAAAGUGGAGAACUUGAGACAGUUCGGAGUGGAGCCAGUUUAGAUAUACAUAGAUUUUUUUGAUAAAGGUGUAAAAAAAUAUUUAAGAAAGAAAAUUCCAUGAGAAACUCUUUUUCUAAUUUUUCACUAGUUUGAUAGGAAGAAAAAUAAGUAUUUUGAAAAAAAUUUCAUAUUUCAUGGGCGAACUUUUUUUAGGAAAAUUAAAAAAAAGCUAGUUUUUCAUAAAAUAUGGAAAAAAAGGUUUUCUAUAAAAGAUUAUUUUUCUUGAAACCAACGGAUAAAAAAUUAAAAAAAUAAUUUUUCAAGUUUCACAUUUUAUAGGACUAAUCUAUGCUAAUCAGCUAAGUUGAUUCUAAGCUUUUGAAUUUUAAUACGAGUACACGACUUGAUUAAAAAAAAAAAAGAGGCCAGUUUGAUUAAAAUCGGAUCAGUUCACUCAUUCAAACGGUUCAAAAUAAUUUUUUAACUUAUCUGGUUCAAAGAGCAGAGUCAAGCCGCUUUAUAAACUCGGUUAGAGUCAAACCGAUCGAACAAGCUGAUUCGACCUUAUUUUUAAAUUAUUGGUUUUCUAUACAUUAGCCGAUGUGACCUUAUUUGAUAAUUUAUUUUAAAUAUAUUAUCAAAACAAAAUUUAAGAAAAUAGUUUUAAAUAUUUUAAAAUAAUAUUGUAUUUUUAAUUUUUCUUUGUUUAAUUUCACAUAGUAGUCAUUAGGAUAGAUAUAGUGGAAAAAUAUCACUGCUUAUUUAAAAACAUAUCAUUUUAGGGCUUGUCAUUUCACUUAGUUAAGCUUAAGCAUGCAUUUAUUUAUAAUAAUUAGAAGCAAACAUUAAUUAGGGGGACAACUUACACAUCCUACUCCCUUUUUUUAAUGUAUUAGUUAGCAUUAUUAUAAUAAAAAACUAUAUAUAUAUAUAUUACACGUAACAUGGCACGCAUGAUUACAUGAUCUCACUAAGCUACAGCGUAACGAUCUUUUUAUAUCGUUGAACAUAAAAAUAUUAUAAAUACUAUUCUCUGAUAGCUGAAGCUAUCGGAGAUAAAUACGGAUUUGAAAAACAAAAAUUCGACAAACUCAUAUUCUAGUAUAGAUUUUUUAUUAUUAUUAUUAUUACAGAAAUAAUAUCUAAUAUAUCCUCUGAAACUUUAAAAAUAUUUAAUAUAUCUUCGGUCGACUAAAAUGUCCUCAUUGAUUUUCAAAAGUUUUUCAAAUAUUUCAAAACUCGAUUGUUUACUAAUGAAAUUGGGAUUCAUAAGGAUAUUUUGGUAAUAUAGUGGAGAGUAAAUAAGCAAAAAUGCCCCAUAUAUAUAUAUAUAUAUAUUUGAUAUUAUAUUUGAAUUUGUAUUUUAAAAUUUUAAAUUUUAACGUAAUAUAUUAUGAAAUAUGGUAAAGAGAAAUAAUUGUUUCGAUUUUGGAUUUUCGAGUUCGAGUUCUUGGGCCGGGUUAGGUUUUCGGAUUUUUGAAAAUCCGCUUCGAAUCCGUCUCUAGUUCUGAAUUCGAAUCCAAUCAGAUUCAUAAUAUUAUUAAUUUUUUUAUUUAAUUCAAGCUCUAUUUUGAAUCUAUUAAAAUACUUUGAGCGUAGAUGUGACGAAAGAAUAUUAAACAUAAAUAUUAAAAAUACCGUUAUAUACCAACUUAAGUUAUUGAAAGAAAAUAUAAAUAUUUGGUACUUAAAUUCGUCGUAUUCACCCAUCACCUACUAUUUUUUUAUUACAAUAUUUUGGGCAAAUGAUGUGACAAAAAAUGAUUUAAUUUUCCGACUAAAACCUUCUAAUACCCAUUCAUACUUAAUUUAUUUUUGUAUACAAUAAUGUCACAAGGAAUGCUUGCUUAAGCACUCACACUCAAUAGUGCUCCUUAACUAAGCAUCAUUUAAUUAAUUAUUAUUUAGUUAAGUAGUUACAAAAGAUGAUUAAUUAUAUUAAUUAAUUAUCGAUUACUCGGCCUCGAGGCUACAAACCGUAUCGUGCCAUUCGAACCACGAACGAGGACUCACGAUUCACCCUGCUAUUCGUGACCCAGCUCGUGUUCGAUUCGAAAUAUGCUUGAGAUCGAUCAUCUUUUCAUUAAUUAAGUAAUUGUCCUCGAAAGGCGAAUGGUCUGUCCCGAGGGUAUAAAUUGUACCGUCUGAACCAGAAGGUAGCACGCAUAUGCCGGGGGGCCGAGACUCGAUUCAUCGAUCGUCAUAGCUUGACCACUGACCUAAGAGAACGGAUGUAGUAAAUAAUGAGUACGAAUAUUAAAAUUUUAUCCGAAUCUGAAUCGGAAUGAGACUGAUUUAUUCGAUACUAAAUAGAUAUGCUUUCGAAUAUAAGUAUGAAAAUAUUAAAACUUAACGUAUUCAAGUUUAGGUAUGGAUUUUAUCUGUACCCUAUCCAAACCCAAACCUGACCCAACCUAAAUAGAGUUUAGUAUAUUUUGAAAUAAGUUGGAGAGAAAUAAUUAUUUCGGAUUUGAUUACGGAUAUAGAUUUUUCAAAACCCGUCUGGCUUAAUUAGGAUCAUGCUCGAAUUCAGGUUUCUAAUUUCGUUACCGGUGUUUGAAUUCAAGUUUUUCAAAAUUUGUCUGGAAUCAGACCUGUCGACAGCCCUAAUCGAGAGCUGUGACCAGCUAGCCAGCUGAAGCUCUGACGUACGAAGAACUGAUUACGCACGUGAGGACGGCCGUGCGCGUAGGAUUCCCCCAUGCGAUUCUCGCACGUGCCGGCCGCCUCGGCCGGCUAAACACAAUUAGGGUUGGGUGUUUUUCUUUAAAUUUUUUUCCUAAACCCUAGUUUAAUUUAUAAUAAGAGCAAGUUGUGUGUUUUUCUUCUUUCUUUUUUCCCAUCAAUCUAUGCACUUGUUUUGACAAAGUAAGACAAGUCCAUAGGGGGGAGGGGAUGAUUCCUUGGAAUUGGAGGAGUUUUGUGCUAAACAAGUCUAAAUAAUCACAUAUACUUUAUUAAAUUAUAUAUAUAGAUAUCUAUAUAUAUUUAUAUAUAUCAAUGCCAAUGUAUAAAUGCAAUGCAUUGCUUUGGACUUUGAAGAGCCCUAGUUGAUCCCUUUUACCAAUAUGACCUUUUCUUCACUUGGACACAAAAUGGACUUUUGCGAGUUUCGGAACACAGUUUUCUGACUGAAAAAGUAUUUUUUGUCUGUAUAAUUUCGAAGAAAAGUAAAUAUUUUUAUUUUUUUAAUUUAAAGCAUGAUGACUAUAGAAAAAAUAUUUUUAUUUUCUGGCUAUAUAGAAUAGUUUUUUUUUUGUCUUUUUAAUUCUUAAGAAAAGUUUUUUUUUUUUGAUUUUUUGUUGAAAUCUUUUUAUCUGAAACAUGAAGAUUAUAGAAAAAAUAUUUUUAUUUUCUGGUUGAAAUAGUACUUUUUGUUUCUUAGUAGUUUUGUUAAAUUUUUUGUUGAUUUUUUUUAUUUGAAACAUGAAAACUAUGGAAAAAAUGCUUUCAUUUUCUGACUAAAAUAGUAUAUUUUGUCUCUUUAAUUCUCAACAAAAGUAGGUUUUUUAAAAUUUUCGGUCGAAAUAUUUUCAUCUGAAACACAAAAACUACUGAAAAAAGUUUCAUUUUUUGACUGAAAUAGUACUUUCUGUCUGUUUAAUUUUCAAAAAAAAUAGUUUAUUUGAUUUUCUGUCGAAAUUCUUGUAUCUGAAACACGAAAACUACAGAAAAAAUGUUUUCAUGAAAAAGAAAAUUUUCAAACAAACAAUUUUUCAUAAUUUUGGGAACAACCAAACACUUCCUCAAUUAGCUUGAGUACGGGGUUUAGUGAGAGUAGAGUGAGUGUGUGUGUGUGUGUGUGUGUGUGUGUGUGUGUGUGGUGUUUGGCACAAAAAUGUUGGUGCUCCCCAUGACAUUUCCAUCAAAGUAAAUGAAAAAAAGAGCAUGAAUGUUUGAGCUCCUUUGCUUAAUUAGAUGGGGUUUAGGGCAUGGACCAAUUCACCCUAUUUUAAGCCCCAUUUUUUAAAAUAAAAUAAAAUAAAAUAAAGUGGGUAAAUCCAAAAAUGAUCUUGUAAUGUGUGUGUUUUUGGAACAAGGAUCUAGGACUAAUAUUUUCUUUUUUUUUCACUCAAAGUGGAUAUGUGGCUUUUGUUCAUGGCUCUACUUAAAUUAUAGGGAUGGAAAAAAAAAAAGAAAAAGAAAAAGGAGUAGCUAUAACUAUGAGGCCCUUUUCCCCUUGGCUACUCCUUUGUAAUCUUAAUAUAUUUUAUUUCACUACUUGUAAAUACAAUAUAAAGACCCUUUAGAUACACUCUUUAGUCCUUUUUUUUUUCUUUUACUAUUUAUCACUACAAUACAUUCAUUUAAAGAUACUUUACAUUCAAUAAAUGCUAGUGAUACAAACAUCUAACCAUAAUGGGGAUGAUGAUAAAAAUGUGUAGAAUUUAUCUGUACUUUGAUCCAUUUUGAUUUAACUAUAAGAUAUUUUAAAAGUUUGAUUUUAGUACCGAACCUUUCAAAGUUUAGAUUCAUUACUUAUUUUAAUAAAAUUAUAAGAGCAUAAAUUAUAUGAAAUAUGCUAAAUUAAUAGGCUUGUAAAAGUAAAUGGUCCAUUCAAAAUUUGAAGUUUAAUUAAGAGUCACUAAAUUACUCAAAUCAAAUGAAUUAAAAGAUAAAAUAGCAUAAUCAAAACUUUUAAAGGUUAGGUAAUUAGACUAAAUGGGUUUACGAUCCAAUUUCGACUUUGCUCCAUAGAAAAUACUAAGUAAUUGUCAUCACUAAGCACUUUUGGGACAAAAUAGUUUAUGUAUAAGAAUUUGAUCUGUUCCUAUCAAAAGUGAGGCUGCUAAUAUCAUUUUCUCUCGUAAAUAGGUCUCUACGAAAACUUCUUUGGGUUAUUAGAUUACCAUUAUUUUUAAUCUAAUCUAUGAUUAAAAAAAUAAAAAGAGUUAAGAAAUUUCUAAAUCUCACACCUACCUAACAAGGACAUGCAUGAUCAUGUAGUACCAUUUUCUAGAGAGAGAGAGAGAGAGAGAGAGAGAGAGAGAGAGAGAGAGAGAGAAUUUGUAGGGCUAAAUGGCCUCCAACUAGGUGUAACUUAAGGUGCACAACAUUUGCAUUUAGGGCAUAAAAAAUAAAACAAAAUAAAAAUAAAAUAAAAAUAAAAAAGUCUCUCCCUAUUUAUUCCUAUGUAGGGUAGUGGGAAACAACUAAGUGUAACCAACCAUAGGAUGUAUGUAGCUCAUGUUUUGUGUACAUUUUUUUUUCUUUUUUUUCUUUUUUAAUCUUCUACACCAUUACUCUUGUAAUUGUCCAAUUUGAGUGACAUUAUUGUAUUACAUCUCAAAGUAAACUAAUAAUGAAAGUGACUCUUUUUUAUUAAUAUAUAUAUUUAAUUUUUUUCAAAUUUUUUCGGCCGUCCGAUUGUCCAUCGCCGGCCGAAUUAGAUGGGCGAUUUCGUAAUAAAUUAUGUCAUUAAUGCUAAAUAAUUAGCCUACUAGCAUUUUUAUACUAUGAAAGUCAAAUACUUGGUUGCUUUAGUUUUACUUAAAGGUUUCCCCCUUAUCUUCUUGUUGUUAUUAAUUAAAUAGUUAAAAAAGAAAAUUUUAGGUCUAAAAUGGUGAUGGAGUGUUUACAAAACUUUGUUACUUCCUAAAUUUGUCACAAAAGUAAAAGAAAAUUUCUUUUUCUUUUUCUAAUUUAAUGCAAUGUGUGGAGUGAUUUUAUACAAGUAAUUUUUGUGGUUACAACAACAACAACAACAACAACAACAACAACAACUACCAAGGCAAAAUUACAUUACCUACCAAUUCAUGGAACACUAUAUGGUGUGAUUUUAAUUAAAUUAAUUGGCCUAAAAAGUUGAUAUUUGCUAACAUGCUAUAGCAAUUUAGUUCUCAUCCUACAUAGCAAUUUGAAAUUGCUUUUUUCACUUCAAAAAGCUAGAGUAAAAGGAGGUUGAUAAACAAUUAGCAACUUAUAAGAAAUACUUUCAAUGUAACAUGAAGUUAGAAUAAGAUUAUGGGUCGCAGUUCAGAGCUAUAUUGAUCACUUGAACACGAGCAAGCUGACACCAGCUCGAUCGUGUUCCGCUCAUUUAAUAAAACGAGCGAUCAAUCGCGAGCUAAUUUCAAGCAAAGCACAAACUGGCUCACGGACAGUGAGCUGGAUGAUGGCCAGCCAUAACCGCAUGUAGACUUUUAGAAGUUAUUUUGUAAACUAACGUUUGGUUUCACUGGCCACCAACUUGGACUAAUAGAGCUGCUAUAACCCUAAAUUAUCCUGAAACUCUGCAGUAAGUAUAGUAUACUGCUUUUUCAAAUCAAAUGCCAAGAACACAAACUUUGUUUUGUGUUUUUCAAUCCAAAAGUCGAGAGAACACGAGCCCUAUUUUGUGAAAAUCACAAGCAAGGAUCAAACCCUGUCCUCGUUCCCGAACCCCCGACCUCAUGAACGACAACUCAGUUGUGAUAUAUAUACAUAUAUAUAGAGAGAGAGAGAGAGAGAGCAGGACUGCUGUGCUCUCAGGAGUACGGAGGCCUCCAUGCUCCUGAGCCGUUUUCGAUGAUGAAAUUUUCGAAUCGACGAUCGGCUCCGUUAGACUUGAUCUAGUGUAUUUGAAGUUUUUAGAAAAUAAUUUUUGCGAUUUUUCGAUAUCAUUUACCUAGCAAUUAAUCAAAAGGAUUCAAAAUCAAUAAUUUUUAACGGCUGAAAAUAAAAAUCUCUAUAAAAGUGGUGAUAUAGCACUAAAAUUUUCGAUCAAAAUAUUAAUCUUGUCGUAGAUAGUAUAAAGAAUUUUGUAACAAAAUUCAUCUAAUUUAAUACUUCUACACGUUAUAACUUAAAAACGCAGAUAUCAAUUAUUAAAAAUGAUUCAAUCACUAAGGUAUAUGAUAUCAAAAAAUCGCAAAAUUAUUUCUAGAAAUUCAAAUACGCUAGAUCAAGUCUAACGGAUCCAAUCAUCGAUUCGAAAAUCCAUCAUCAAAAGGCUCAGGAGCACGGAGGCCUCUGUGCUCCUGAGAGCACACACAACCCUCUCUCUCUCUCUCUUCUCUCUCUUCUUAAUUAUAUAAUAUUAUAUAUAUAUAUAUUAUAUAUAUAUCUGACAGCUUUCUUUUUUGCGGGAUAUUAUAUAUAUAUAUAUAUAUAUAUAUAUAGGGAGAGAGAGAGAGAGAGAGAGAGUUCGGCUACUAUACUCUUAUGAGUAUAGAUUUGUUUAUAUUUAUUAGUUUUCGACCGUUGGAUCUACUCUUUUGAUUAUUUCCAUUCGUUAGAUCAUAGAUACUAUUUAAUCAGUCACCCACUCAAUCUUAGAGAACCACUAUCAUCCUAACCGCAUAUUCUUUCAUCCAAAAAUCGAAAACUUAUGAGUUCGAAAGGAUCUAUACUCAUAAGAGUAUAAUAAACCUACUUUCUUUCUCUCUCUCUCUCUCUCUCUCUCUCUCUCUCUAUGUAUAGGUUUAUAUAUUGCCGCUCUUUUUGAAUAAAGAAAAUUUUCAAAUAGGCUCUCUCCAAAGACUAUGAAGGUAGGGAUGCAAACGGGGCAGACUCGGGAGGGCAGGAGAAUUUUCCUACUAUCACUCCAUUUCUUAUCGGGUCUGGAUGGAUUUGGGACGAAUUAAUUUUAAUCCUAGUUUUGGUUCCCACCUAUCGCUUUGUUCGGAGCGAAUCAAAAUGCGAGGAGAUUUUUGACGAAUUUUGACGGAUUGGAGUGGGCUAAAGGAAGAAAGGAGUCUUCCGCCUCCCGCUCCAUUUACUUGAUGAAUCGGGACAGAUUCGAGCCAAAUUAUAUUGUUCUGUAUUUUUUAUUUUCAUUUAUCGUUUUAUUCGAAACAGGACAGAAACUCCACCAACCAGAAUGAGUUUGCAUCCCAGAAUGAAGGUAAGGAAGGAAGGAAGGCCACAAGAGAUAUGGAAAAUCCAUGCAUGUAGUGGGACCCACAUAUGAAUGUUCCUUUGUGUGGCAACACUUUUUAAAGUGGAAAAAAACAGUGCAUUAUUAUUGUUAUUAUUAUUAUUAUUAUUAUUAGGUUUUCAAAGAUUGAAGCUUUUACGCCUCUCUCUCUCUCUCUCUCUCUCUCUCUCUCCAUUAAUUUCUUUGGCCCUACCUCCUCUUUCCAUAAAAUUUUGUCUCACUUGCUUUUUAAGUCCCCAUUGUAAUAUUGUAUUGUGUUGUGUUGAGUUGUGUUGGACUUUUUUUUUUAAUUCAAAAAAGGGAAAACUUAAAAGUGCUGUACUUUGUUUUCUUUAUGUUAUCUUUGCAAUUUAUGAAAUGAUAAAUACAAAUCACAUAAUAAUAAAAAGAUAUCAUAUAUUUCACCAUUUUCUCCUUUCUAAUUAAUAAUGAGUAUGUAAACCACUGGAUAACAUAGCUACAAAUCACAUAAUAUGAUAUUAUAUUUCAUCAAGAUAAUGGGCCUCAAAUGGGCCUUCUUUGGGCCUUCUUUGGGCCUGGUUUUGAUUCGCAACAUUUCGGACUUGUUCGAAUGCAUGAACAUCUUGCUCGACACAUCUCUUUUAGUUAUUCAGGAGCAGGAGUAUCAUAGAUACCUGGAAAAACCAUAAACUUUUCGUUGCGUAUAAAUUAUCACUGAAUAACUUUGUGCGGCAUCGGAACAACUCCGUGUCACUUACGCACUUCAUGCUGAUCUUGUAACUUCAAAUAGCAACAAAUAUAAAGUGUUUUCGAAAUGUUACAAAUCAAUGAAACGAAGAGGGGAUCACACCCCUCCAUGUACCAGUAGGGAUGCAAACGGGGCGGAUCCGGGAGCAGGAGGGUUCCCCCAACUCCUGCUCUAUUUCUUGUCGGAACGGGAUGAAUUCGGGACGGAUUAUUUUUUAUUUUAUUUUUUGCUCCCGCUUACUGCCCCAUUCGGGGCAUAUUAGGACGAGAGCGAAUUUUUGGCAAUUUUUUGACGAGACGGAUUAAAGGAAGAAAAAGGUCUCCCGUCUCCCGCUCCAUUUUACUUGGCGGAUCGGGAUGGAUUCAGAACGGAUUAUAUUUUUCUAUAUUUUUUGUUCUCACUUACCGCCCCAUUCGGGGUGGAUCGGGAUGGGAGCUCCACCAACCCGGAUCCAUUUGCAUCCCUAUGUACCACUGCAAUUCAUGUAACCAAUGUUUUCAUGUUAAGCCACAUUCAUGCUACAGUGAUUUAGAAGAACAAUCACCACCUCCAUUGUAAGCAAAAAUUGCUGUUUGGUUCCUCAGAAAACUACGAAGAAAAAAAAAAUUCGAAAAAAAGUUUUCAUUUUCCAAUUUACACAAUCCUUUUUUUCAUAUUCCAACAAACCAAGCAGUCCCUAGCACGAGCAUGCCCGUGUGCCAGCAGUACGACACGACACGACACAGACAGAACAGCAUGUCUUGACAUCCAACUCAUUUUACACGAUGGCACAGUUGGCACAGUCGGCACAGGCUUAUCAGCACGAGCGAUAUCCGGCCAUGCCAGACGCCGCCGCAUGCCAAUCCUUGCACUGAAGCUCAAAGCAUCGAAACUCGAGCAAAAAAAGAAAAGGCACAAAUGCGCAAUCGCGCAUAUUAUUCAAAUUUUCAAUGGCAGAACAAUUUAUUCGGUUUUUGUCUGAGUCUAGAUAUAUAUAGUGGAAAUAAGAAGGUCAAAAGUACACAAUAAAAGCACUGAUCAUGCUUAGUAGCUGCUACUCUAAAAACUUGCUACAUCCAAAUCAACAUCUCAUUCUCCAAAUUCCGAAAACCGUAAAUCCAUGGAAAUAGGAAGUCACUAAUUUACAUGCCAAAUAAAAGUACGACUUUUAAGGCGCAACACAAGUAAUCUCCUAAAAAAAAUUCACGACGAAUGCACUCACUUGAUGGUCUACGACGGGGCGCCGAGGUAAGAAGCCAAGCGCAGUAUGUCGCUGAAGACCCCACCAGCUGUGACUUCUGCGCCGGCGCCUGGGCCGCGCACGAUGAGUGGCUGGUCCUUGUAUCGGGCGGUCGUGAAUGCUAUUAUGUUGUCGGAGCCCGAUAGCUGCGCAAAUGGGUGGUCCUUUUUGUAUCUUCGUAAUUCUACUUGCCCUUUCUCAUUCACCACAUCCACAACUCCGACGUAUCUCAAUACCUUCAAAUAUUUACAUAAAGAGUUCGAUGAAGUCGAUAUCGGGCUGUUACGAGACAUAUUUGGAAGGUCUUUGACAUAUGUACCUCUUGUUGAAAGUUGGCGAUAACAUAUAUGCCCUUAAAAAUUUCGUUCUUUUACGAUAUAGUCGUUAUCUUAAAGGGGAGUCGAAGUUCAUGAUAAUUGAUGUUGGAUUAGUUGAAGGCUUUCACAAAUGUCUCAGAAGCGAUUAUUCGAAUGUAUAAAUGGAAAUGCAAAUUCUACAAGGGUAUAUGCGUAAAUAGAAGAUUUUUCUAUUGGGAAGAAAAGGAAAGAGAAGUAAUCUAGAAUUGAUUUGCUCACAUCUCCAGAAGCCUCAGCAUCCUUUCUUUCUCUCGCCAACUCCUCGUCGAAGGACGGAAGCUUCUGCAUGAAUUCCUCGGCAGACGAACAUGCCUACAAAUUCACCAGAUCUUAGUGUUUUAAUCCAUUUGAGAAUCCUUUGUUUUUUUUUUUUUUUUGAGUCCAAAACAUCCUUACUUUUAAUGGUUCUGGUACGAGACUUCGGACUGGGAUAUCGGAAAGCUCGAGCUUCAACCCUGACUCUCUUGCAAGGAUGAUAACCUGCACCGAAAGAAUGACAAAAUGUAAUGAAUAAAAGAAGAAAUUAGAAAAGAAUUGCAAAAAAAGCCAUUAAAUUAAAUAAAAUCUCCUACUUAAUAUUAGAAACACCAUUCUCUAACAGCUUAAGUUUUUUGAGAACAACGAUAGUUUCACGUUAUUUAAUAUGGUAUCAUAGUAGAAGAUCCUGAGUUCGAGUCCCGCCAGACUCCCAGCAGUAUUAAUUUAUCAGAAAGAACCAAUGACCUUACCUUUCUGGCAACAUCUGUUCCGGAUAGAUCAUCUCUCGGGUCAGGUUCAGUGUACCCCGCCGCUUUUGCCUCAGCUACAACAUCACUAAAAGACCGUGUUCCUUCAAAGUUGUUGAAAAUAUAACUCAAAGUGCCACUGCAAUAGAUAGAUUAACCAAAUAUAGCAUAAGUUAAAGAAGCAACCUAAAUAUAGCAGGAAACUUAUUAUAUAGUCACUUUAUCGGAAAAAAGGGGACAGAAAAUGCCUUGUGUUUCAGAUUUUUUUUGGAUUAUUUGUUCAUGGGAAAUGUUAACUUGUUAUCAGUCCAACAUAUAUACCUGAAAAUGCCCUCAAUACGCAAUAUCUUAUCACCGGUUUCUAGAAGACCACGUAGAGUACUGAUGAUCGGAAGUCCCGCACCAACAGUCGCUUCGUAGAAGUAGUGGGUGUAUGAUUGACGUUGCAGAGUCCUCAAUUUUAGAUACUGUUAAUUGAUUAGAAAGGAAAUAAGAUGACAAGCUAUAUACAUUUAACAGCUUACAAGACAAUAAAUACGGAAAAAGUCAUCAAAGCAAGCUUUCUUAUUUAAACUCAGCUAGGGAAUAUUAACAGUUAAGUUUUCUUUCGGACUCAAGUGUUAGAUCGCAUAUUGAGAAGUUGACUUUUGAAAAUGACAGCAACAAAGGAAAUAUAAGAUGGGCAAAAUUUGAAUCUAACAAACAUUUUGGAUUUUUUUUUUUUCUAAUACCUUCUCUAACAUUUCAUGUCGCAUUAUGACGUGCGACUGUCUUUUACAACUUUUUUGGAGAUAUAUAAUUAUCAGCGACAAACGUUAGCCAAGCAACCAAAUCGUACUCAUUUUCUGGCCAAUUAACUGAACAAAACUUUCAAAGGGAGAUGCAAAAGUAAUAAUCCGGCAAAUAUUUCAUACUGCAAACGCCUUAUCCUAAUAUUUCAUUUUAAAAUUUGGUGAUGAUAAAAGAGGAGCAAUAUGAAAAGGACAUUUUACACAGUAAGGAAAUGGUUAAGAAAAUAUUUUCCAAUAAUCCAAUUGGUUGUGUUGAACAGAAAAAUAGUCAAGAAAGAAAAAUACCAGAUCAAGUGGCCCCGAGUUAGCUUUCUUAUUUGGUGUCACGACAUGUAUACCCUUACGCAACCAAUCGUAGUAACGGUUUGCAACGCUGGUAUCCGCAGUGCAAUCUACAAUCACUCUAUUUGGGAAAAAGUGAUUGCCGUGCAAAUGUUGAGCGAAUCUAUCCAGAUCAGCUUGUUCACCUUCUUCUUUCAGAACCUCUUUCCAUUUGGUUAAGUCAAUUCCUCUACAAAAAAGCAGCUAAUAAGAAAUUAAAAAUUAAGAGGGUCAAAAUAAUGAACUACGAAAAUGCUUAGUUUUUCUCCUUGUGUCUCUUUCUUUUUUAUUAUUAUUAUUAUUAUUUUAUUUUUGUAGAUCCCAUAAAUAAAGUCACCCAUCGACCAGAAGAAUAGAAAUCAAAAUAGUUAAUGAGAUAUUUUAGUAAACAACCAUUAGGUUAGGUAACUUAAAAAUGAUAAUUUAUCUACUGCAGAAAAAUCAACAGAGCGACACAAAAGUAAGAAUUUCUUACUACAAAAGUUCAAAAUAACUGAUGAGAAUUAAAGAGCCAGAGAACAGGAUAGUCGUAAUCAAGAGAAGUCCAAAAGGAACUAGCAGCAGUAUAUCUCUCAUGAUAUAGAGAUUCUUUUAUUAAUUUGUAGGGAUUUAAGGAGAGUUUCCAGUUUAUGCAGCAGAAAAGUUGAAAUCGAUUUUGUAAAAGAAUAGAACUAAAAUAACAGUGGAAUACUAGAUCUUCUUGGUCCAUAAUGCCAGUAAUCUUUUCUUAUUGAAAUUGUCAAAACCAUAAGAUACAUGAAUUCUAAAUACUAGAUAAAUUAAGUAGCCAAUAGCUAUGUUUGAUUCUACAAGCAGCGUACAAGUUACAAUAGAAUAUAUAAUGCCUGCAUAUUGCAUAUGAAACAUGAAGUUCCAAGAAAUGGAGUAGCUUACGUAUCAUUCAAAACCAUUGUUCUCGAGCCAGUUAUCCCCAUGACACGCAAAUCGAUGUUAAAUUCUUCCUUGAGAGCCGCUGCCUGCAUAUGAAUUCAGAUUGAGUUCCACAAAAUGAAUAGAGUAAAAUUCAUUAAUAAAUCAAAGUCAUUAAUAUUUCUUUCUCGGACAAACACAAAAGAGGAAUAAUGUAAAAGAACACUUUCAAGCACCCAUAAGAAGCAUACAACAAGUGCUUCUGAGUUCUAACAUAUUUUUUCGAAGGAGAACGCAAUAAAAAAAGGAAUAGAAAUUUGAGUCGAUCUACCUGAUCCCUAAGCUGGUUAAGCAGUGCACUGCCAAUCAACCCGGGUCCAAUAAUACCCAUCGCUAGUGUGGUCUUUGAGAGGUAAAACCUUGAGUGAGCGGCCUUCAGAGCCCGUACGCAAUCUUCUUGCUUCAAAACGACGGUGAUAUUGUACUCACUGCAACCUUGAGAGAUUGCCCUUACAUUUAUAUUAGCCUGAAAUGAAAGAAAAGGAAUCGGUAAAUUUUUGACUUGCUUAUAUGAUCUCCAGAGUAAAUAAAUAUUCUAACUUAAUUAACUCAAACUAAUUUAAAAAAAUAUAAGACCUUUGCUAGAGCAUCAAAUAGAGUGGCACUAACUCCAGGAGUACUUGCCAUCCUUUGGCCAACUGCUGCCAAAAUGCUACAAUUAUGAAUGACCUCCACCUGAAAGAAACAGAGUUUAAUGAAUUAAUUAAAGAAGCAUGCACAAAAUCAUAAAAUGAAAAGGUGCAAAAAGCAAAGAAUUGUGAGAUUGGAUCUUGAAGGACGUGAAGAAUACACAACCACCAAUUUUAACAUUUGAGACCCUCUGAUUUGGCUUUGGAUUAAAGGUACCUUUUCUCACUAGAUUCUACCUUAUUACUCUCCAUCUCCCAAACCCACAAAUCAACUCUCCGCUCUUUAAAAUAGACUACUCUUUCACCCUGAUCCUACAUACUAUAUCAUCAUUUUAUUGCAGUAUUAGAAAAAAAAAAAAGAGGUUUAAAUUAGUACCUGGGAAAGCCUCCCAGCCUCCAAAGCUUGACGGAAUCUAGCAUGUAAAGCAUCAGAUACUGCUCCGACUUCUUUCUCUGGCACAGCAAAGCAUAUGGAGUGCUCACUGCUAGCCUGCUCAGUUCUUAUAUUUUAGUUCAUGCGACAAAAUCAGAAAGCUAGUAAAAUAAUUUGUAAGUUAAUUCAAAUUAUUACCUGAGAAAUCAUGAUAACAUUAGCUCCGACAUCUUUCACAGUACUAAAAAUAGCACUUGCUGUACCAGGUACACCGGCCAUUCCCGUUCUGCAGUGGAGUAUAUAAGAAACUAUUUAAUGAUGCAGUGUAUGUUCAAGUCACAAAAUAACAAGAUAAAAGCAUAUUUGGCCUGGUUUAUGCAACAAAUCUCUAAUAAAGACAGAAGAAGCUUCUAGAAACUAUGUACUUUGCUAACAAAAAAUGUCAAGCUUCUACUAUGACAGAAAGCUAAAGUGAGCUUCUGAGCCAUAAAAGCAGAAACCUAAAUUUGAAUACUCCGUAGCGAGAAGCCAUUAAACCCAUUUUAAUGAAAAAGCUACUAGUGCUUUUUUGAAUAACUCUACUCAAACCACACAGUCAAACAGGUCCUAAAAUAAAAAAGGCAACUCACCCCUCAACAUUAACAAGAGCCAAGCUGUCGAUGGUAGCAAAUGCUUUGACAACAGACUCUAACCCCCUCUUCUCCCCAUUUUCAUUGUUAGGUUGCUGGCAAAUCAUUGUUCCGGGAGCAGAUAGAUUGAAGACAUUCCUGAUAACAAUCGGGAUGUUAUAUUUCAUCACCGGUAUUAUUGUACGCGGAUGCAAAACGUUUGCCCCAAAGUAUGACUGUAACAAGUUAACUUUCAAGUCAGUGCAUUAGUUUAAUACAAUAAUAAAUAAGAAAAAGAGAAAAAGAGGGAAUAAAACAUGCUUGGAUGAGCUUACCAUUUCCCAGGCCUCCUGAUAAGAUAAUGUCCUUAGUAUCACAGCCUCGCUAACUGCAAAAAGAGUUUUUAGUAGAUGCACCCAAUUUAUUUGCCUAAUGGUAGAGCAUCAAAGCAUCAAAAAAAUCAAUUCCGCCCUAUAUACAAUUGUGUAUGGUUGCUACGGGUACCCCGAAGUGUAUGAUAAAAUGGGUGGCAGUGCAAUUAACAGUAGGUGCUAGGUUGGUAGAGUUAGGGUGAAUUUACUUCUCUCCUCUGGAAAUUAAAUGGGUGGAUAACCUAGGGUACGCUAGGCGGUAUCUCAACCUGUCAACCAUUUUCACUAGGUAAACAAAAUUAUAUAUUAUGAAGUUAAAGAACAAACUAAGAUGUAUAUAACUCUACAAUUAGCCGCUUUAACCAUAAAUCUCUGGUAAAUGUACCUAUUAACAUCUAAAUAUACUUAUGCAAAGAAAAUGACCAUAUGAAAACAGAUUCAAUUCAUUUAUCAAAUUUUCUUUUGAGAGUAAAGAGAAAUUUUGAGUGUGAAAAACUUUUCUAGGGAUAAAACUAUAAGACCUUUUCUGGGGUCCGCACUGAAUACUCCAUCAACAUCAGUCCAUAUGGUGACUUGUCCGGCCCGAACAAGGGCACCCAAAAUGGCUGCUGAGAAGUCGCUUCCAUCUCUUUUCAAUGUUGUCGGGACAUUGUUGGGUGUACUAGCAAUAAACCCAGUUGCAAUGAUUGUAUCAGCAGGUUCUCGCGCAAACCACUUCUCAAGUCUCUUCUCAGAUUCUGUAUAGUCAGGAUCUACCUGAUUGGAACUAGUCGGAUUUACGAUUAGGACUUCUCUUGUAUCCAUCCAGCUGCAAGGCCUUCCAGACUGCAUAGAAGAAAAAAAAAAGUAUUGGUUAGGGGCUUUUGCACAUAUUCAUCUUUGCAGAAACGUUCAUUUACAUACACACAGCAAAAGUAAAUAUUCACUUAUAUCCCUUGAAAGUGAAAUUCCUUUUUGUUAUUUUUAUUUUGGGGAAUCAUCCAAUUCAUGGGCUGGAGGGUUGUUUGGUGUUAGAAAAGGCAUUUCACAUACCUACAAUGUACAUAUGUGAAAAAUUAAGUUUUGGAAGGGUAAGUACGUAAAUAUGUCUUUAAUUAUAAGAUCUGGGAAAUUCAUAAAAUUUUCAUGUGUACCUUCUUUAUGGCAUAUGACAACAUUUGAGCAGACCACAACUCUCCAUGACCAACAACGAAGUCAGAAAAAGAUUCUGUCGCAUGACCAGCUGCAAAACCAUCAAAGCUUUUAGGAAUCAAAAAAAUUAACACAAUCUUUUAAAAGAAACAACUAAAAAAGAUUUUUUUCAAAAAAAAAAAAGCUAUUGGCAAGCAUGAUGAUUUUCAAAGCUAGUUCUCUUUCGAGAACAAGGAAAGAGAAAAGGAAAUAAGAGCAUCCUAAUGCUGCUGCAGUCUUAUAUUUCUAGAUUUUGAGACAAACAAAAAGAGGACAAAUCAAGACAUUAUUUGUUUAAGUUGAAAUUAUAAUAUAUUUUGAAAACCAUGAACACUAUCCAAAUCAUUGCUAAGAAAAGUACACUACCAAAACCAACUCCAUUAAAUAAAAAGAGUGUCAGAUAGCAAGAAACCUAUGUAUAUAGCACGAAGCAUUGCUUUGAGGUUGCUGAUGUCGGUAUGCAACUGAGACAAGAAUCUAGCAAGGUCUUCUCCAUCAAGUAGAUCUUUCGCAGUCGCCAUAUGCUUCUCAAAGACCUCAUCAAGUGCCAACAUAUAAGAAUCAUCCCUUGCCUGAGCCUUGUACACGAGAUUAUACAUCAUGUCUGUAACUUUGGACAUUGCAGAAACAAUGAUCAGCUUCCUUUCAGAAGAAUCCUUAAGAAUUAUAUCCGCAACACUUUGAAUUCUUUCCGAGGUGCCCAUGCAGGUCCCACCAAACUUGUGAACUGACCACAUGUUGCCUUUGGGGAGUUGAGCAGCCUCUACAAUUUGAUCAACUGACACAUCUGUCACGAACAACACAGGACAAGCAAGUCAAUAUGAGUAAUACUACAAGUUUGCUAUUAACUAAUAUACCUGUACAAAUUUAAAAUUGCAUGAAUGUCCUUUAAAAACUUAGUUUCUCGAAUAAGGCCUAAAUGCCCCCCUCUUAGGAAACUUUGUAAACUAAAUUAAAACCAAAACCACUCAACACCAACACCCCCCACCCCCCCAACAACACAAAACACUACCCCAGCCCCCCUUCACACCCCCCCCCCCCCCACAAAAAAAAAAACAAAAAACCCCACCCCCAACCCAACACUGGAAGAAAAGACAACCUAGAAGAACUCCAAGAAAAAAAAGCAAUCUUCAAUAUUUAGCAAAGAGUUUAAGAGUUUUCGUAAUGGUUCUUAAAUAAGAAGGCCCAUGAGACAUCGAAAGGAAACUACCUGCAACUGAAGCAAAAAUGUGAUUGUAAGACCAUCCUUCCUCAUAGUUCCUGAAACACCACCUAUCCUGAACAACAGCUACAAAAGGUAAGAUAUUAAUGAAGAGAAGUCCUUAUACAUGAUAGUAGCCAAAAAAAAAAAAAAAGCAUAAAUCAUUUGCUCCUUAUUCAGAAGUUAGUUAAUAUAAUUAGAAAACAGAAACAGAGACUUCUCUAAAAAUAGCUAACCUGUUUUUUUUUUUUUUUUUUUUUUUUUUUUUUUUUUCGGUAGUAUUGUAGUAUUGUAGUAGUAGUAGAUAAAGUGAUAAACAACAUAGCAUGACGCCCGAAUGCAAGAACAGCACAUAUUAUCAUGCUAUAAUAUAUUUACAGCACCUCCAUUGAGGAUUAAAUUGUUUUUAGACAUCCUAUCCCCUAAUCAAAGGAGCACCAGGUAAAUGCUUUCAUAAUAACAGAAGGAUGUCUUUACUUGGUUUUAUAUGAAGGUGCCAAUGCAAUCAAAAUCUUAUUUGCAAAUGUUUUCGCAUAUAUUAAGCAUGAUGAGCAAAGAUCACUGGCUUUACAUGUUCAAUCCAGUUCCCAACUGGAAUCAAUCAAGACAAGUUAAUAGCUAAAUCGCAUUAAUUUCAGAGAACAAUCAUGAUCAUCAUGAUCAUCCGAGCCUUUCUCACUAUACGAUAUAAAAAUGUCAUAUGUCCAUCGCUUGAUCCUAAAUCAAUAAACAAAUGCAUCACUAAGCAAUUUUAGAUGUCGACAGGGAUAGUUUUUCGUGUCAAACCAGGAUAUUAUAGGAUCUCACAAAAAAAAACUAUUCCAGUUCCUUUCAGGAUUAUGUUAUCCCUCACUUUGUCCUCACUUAUCCCCAUAACUAUUACAUUUAUCCCUCAUUAUUUCAAUUAUCCCUACAAUGAUUCUUUGUUACACCUGCAAUGUCAAACCGACCAUAAAAUUGAAUAUGUUCUUGGUUCAUCUCAGAACAGAGAGACAAUCCACGGAUUGAAAAGAAAAGGUUAUCACAGUAAACUCAAUACCAAACCAAACUGUGCCUAAAAGGAAAGGCAGAAGCAUAGCUUAUUUUUUCUGUUGAUGAUUUGUUUUUGCCACACAAUACUGCCGCAAGUUAGAUCUGAUUAUGAAAUAAAGUAAUAGGAAACUUCUCAAUCAGUCAUCAUCUUGUCGACGGCGUCAUCAAUCUAAAUCGAAAUUUUAAUAGUUGAAGGUAAACUCCUUUCCAUUGGCAACUCCGACACUUAUUGUCUAGGCCUUGAGACUAAUACUGAGCUUACGCACGCUAAAAUUUCCUAUGUCUCAUCAAGAAAAGAAUGUUAAUUAUCCUAAAGAAUGCUCCAAACAAGCAACUCAAGCAUUAUUCAAAAGAAUAAACACGUUGAUUAUCUGAACAGUCUCAAAUAAACAUAAAAAUUAUUAGCACAAUUUAACCAUCCAAUGAAGCAAACAUAUUUGGAAAUUUAAUGCAUUCCUUACUGCGUAAUGCGUCAUGCAACUCAAUCUACAGUUCUUAAACAACCAAAAAUUGGAGUAAAUGGGAACCACACCCACCUCAGAGCACUCCCAAAUAGUGACAAUUUACUCCCCCUGCUUUGCUGCCACGGUGAAAUCGCUCGGCUGCACCAUUAAAAACAAAUCAUAAAACACAAAUGACAGCAACUUCACAUCAAAAAUUAAUCUUACAAAAUGAACUUAAAGGAACCAAAAAAAAACAAAACAAAACCGAAUACGCAUUUCCAUGCUUAGUACAAGAUUCUGCGACCAAAAUGGUAACGUUAGAUCGAAACCUGUACUAAUCUUUCUAGCUUAAAGUUUUAAGUUCAAAUCCAAAAAAAAUUAAACUGCAAAUGAACUUGAGAGAACUUGAAAAAGCAAAGCCCGCAUAGCAUAUCCAUGCGUAGCACACGAAGAUGAUGUCAAAAUGGCAACUUUAGAUUGAAACCUGUACGAAUCUACGCAGGAUUAUCAGUUUAACUCCAAAUGUCAAAAAACCGAAACCAAAUAACCAAAAUGCAAACUUCAGAUCGAAACCACUACAAAUCUACAUAGUAUCAGAUGCUCGAGUUCAAAUCUAGAGAUGGAUUAACGAGGAGAGAUGAAUUGAACCUGAGGGAGGGGAGAGGCGCCAUGGGAGUAGGGUCCUUGGAGCGGCGGCGCGGGCCGCAGGAGGAGGAGGUGGUGGGGAAUGGGUUAGGGUGAACGACGAGGCUCCGCAUCUCGAAUCCGGGGAAGGAGACGAGGUGGAGAGAGAGAGAGAGAGAGAGAGUGGGUGGUGUGUUGAUAAAGAGAGACAGAGAGAGAGAGAGAGAGAGAGAGAGAGCUACUACUGCUAAACACUAAACCCUUCGUUUUAGCGCAGCAAUGUGGGUUCACCUCCUGAACCGGAUCCGGUCCGGUCCGGUCCAGUUCAGUUGAAUGGUCCGGUUCGGGAUAAAUUACACGUCAAUGGGUAUGGAUAUCCGAAAUUUUAUCCGAACCCGAACCCGAAUGAAACGGAUAUCUCCAAUGCUAAACAUAUAUGGAUUCGGAUAUGAAUAUUAAGAAUAAAAACCCGACGAAUAUAGAUUUGGAUAUGAAUUUUGACUGUACCCGACCCGAACCCGAACCCGACUUGAACCCGAAUUUAUUUUGUAUUAAUAUAUAUAUAUAUAUAUAUAUAUAUAUAUAUAUAUAUAUUUGAUGUUAUAUUGAAAUUUGUAUUUUAAAAAUUUAGAUUUAAUAUAAUAUAUUUUGAAAUAUUGAAAAAAAAAAAUUGUUUCGAGUUCAAAUUUUCGGGUUCGGAUUCGGAUUCAGAUUUCGAAUUUUUGGUAGGAUUCGAAUUUGGAUAUGGAUUUUUAAAAUUCGUCGGAUUCGGAUCUCGGGUUUGGAAUUGGGUUUCGAUUUUUAAAAAUCCGCCCCGAAUCCGACCCAUUGAGAUCUCUAAAUUACACCAUCCACUCCCCAGAAAAUAUUCAGAAAAUUAAUUUUUUAACUGAAAAAUUAUUUUCGUGUGUUUGAUUUUAAUAAAAGAAAGUUUUGUUUUUUAAAAAAAAAAAUUAGGCCUUUUUGCAUAAAAAAUCCACUUAUUUUGGGCUUUUGCAAAAUCGGGUCACUUUUUUCGUUUUUGCAGAUUCGGUCCGUUUUUUCAGUAAACCGACUAAAAUACCCUUAUUACUUUUUCUCUUUCCUCUUUCUCUCUCCUCUUCGUUUCUUCCGUUAUUUUUUUUUUUUGUUCUUUUUUCGAGCCCGCCGCCGAGCCCGCAUCCUCUGCAUCUCAAGCCCAAACCCCAUCCUCCUGCUCCCUGCCGCCGCCGUCGAGCACCCCCACCGUGUUCGCUGCCUCCUUUCCUCUAAAGCCCGCCCGAGACUCCGACGUCCUCUCCUCCGCCUCACAAGCCGAACCCGCCGCCCGCGUCUUGCUCACCGAAGUUGCAGAGGGCGAGCAAGGCUCUCCUCGUCAAGCUCAAUGGCGAGGGAGUCCCGAUGUCUCCUCUAUCACGCGAAGCUUCGUCCCCAAGCCCUUCUCUCUCCCCCGCGCUGCCGAGCACACCCCAAUGUCUCCCGCGCCGUCGCCGAGCCACGUCCCGGCCCCUUGACCGACCGCUCGUACACCUCAAUCGCCUCGUCACUCCCCCUUGCUGAGCCUCGUCACGUCCCCACCGUCAUCUUCGUCGCCGUCACGUCGGUCUCGUCGCCGUCACCGUUGUCUCUCACCAUUAAUGGAUGUAAUAGUGCACAUUUAGUGUAAUGGUGUACAUGCCCAUUAUUUCGAUGGUGUAAUGGUGAAUGGACUGACACCAUUGCCACAAUGGUGGCAAUGGUUCACAUUAACCAUUUACACCGAUGAAAUAUGGUGCAAUGGUUACACCAUUUUACACUAAUGGUGCAUAUGUACAAUUACACAUUGAAUUAUACCAUAUAAUUGGUGCGUAAUGAGCUGACCUUUACACUAUAAAGAAGAAGAAGAAGCAGUCGCAGCGCGGCCCGUGUCGCCGCCCACAGCCGCUGCCGUGCCCGGCCCGCGGCCGACCCGGAUCGCACACGGCUGCGGCGCCCCAGGAGCAGCCGCGAUCAGGCUCCCCUGGCCGCCGCCGAUGCCUCAGCGGCUCCGUCGGCUGCGGCCGGGAACAUCCGGGCUCGAGCGUCGGCGCCGAACUCGCAGCAGCUGGACGAGUCGCGCCAGGCUUGCGCGCAUGCAUGAGGCAAGCGCGCGCGAGCGCGACGGCGUUCGGCGGCGCCAAUCCUGGUCGCUCCGCUCUAGCCGCCUGCAUGAAUCUCCGCACCUCUUCCUCCGGUGCCGACGCGCGAGACGCCGGCGGCGGCGCGAGUGGCUCGCGGCGACGGAGACUGACGUGACGGGGCAUUGGCGCCGCCGCCGCCAUGGCCGUGGUUCUCGCAUGACACGGCGACUGGAGACGAAGUGGGCGCGUGGGCUCGGCGGCCGGCGGUGGGGGAGAGGAGGAGGAGUGGUCGCGAAGCGGUAGGAGAAGGAGGGUGAGGAGGGAGGCAACGGUGAAGAAGGAGGGUGAGGAGGGAGGCGACGGUCCGAUCCGCCUCUUUUUUUUCGGCGAGAAAAAAAAAAAGAACGACAGAAACGAAGAGAAGAGAGAAAGAGGAAAGAGAAAAAGUAAUAAGGGUAUUUUGGUCAGUUUGCUGAAAAAGCGGACCGAAUCUGCAAAAAUGAAAAAGGUGGCCCGGUUUUACAAAAGUCCAAAAUAAGUGGAUUUUUUAUGCAAAUUGGCCAAAAAAUUAUGAUAAAAAUAGUGUUUUUAUUUUUCAAAUUUUCAUCUGAAAAAAAAAAUUUGUGGAAAAACAAUACUUCUCAAAAUUUAUUUUUUCACACUUUUUCGAGAAAAAAAAAUAUGUCAUAAAAUUCUAUUUAAAUUUGAUUAAAUUCUACACAUAGUUUUAUUAUAUUUUUUAAAUUAAAUUAAAAGGAGUUUGAGUAGAAUCAUUCGUCCCCAACAUGGACGGUGGAUAUUGGACAACGGAUGGAAAUGAGCGGCGCUUGGUACGCCACGUGGCACGUCAACAGCAAGCUCCCUCCUCUUCUCCUCCGAAACCACACGGAGGGUUUUGUGUAACUGCUCCCCACAAACUAAAACUCGCUAUUCCCCACCAUCCUCAACUCGAUCAAACGCUAGGGUUUUGGCUCCCAGGUUUAGGGUUCCACCCAUCCGCGUCGGCCCCGCUCCCUCCUCCGGGGAGAUGACCCACCCCGCGGCGGCGGCGGCGGCGGCGAGGGCGGCGGCGGAGGGAGGCGCCGCCGCUGUUGCCUCCGCGUGGCGUAUCAUCCCGCGGCCGCUCAUGGAGAGCGUCCUCAACAACCACGCCCUCCACCACCGCGUCCCCCAACCCCUCCUCCUCCAUGGCCCCCGCGGCGUCGGCAAAACCUCCCUCCUCCUCCACCGUGAGCUCCCUCUUUACCUAUCUCCUAAUGCACGCACAGUCUCUCUCUCUUCUCUAACGAUUGUGCUUCCUAGGGCUUCUUCCGGAGUGGAACAAGGGCCCCCACGCCGCCGCAUACGUGGACUUCGCCGCCGACCCCUCCGCCCCCCGCCCCUGGGCCGCCGCCGCCGCCGCCGACCUCGCCGCCCUCCGCGCCCGCCUCGAGCUCGAGCUCGAGUCCCUCGCCCACCGCGCCGUCCACCUCGGCGCCGUCGGCUCCCGCGACGUCUUCGCCGCGCUGAACAAGUGGCACGGCCUCCGCACCGCGCUCCGCCGCGUCGUCGGCCCCGCCCGCCUCUCCAGGCGCGAUGACGACGCCGCCCCCGCGUCCGCGCUCUGGUCCAAGGCCGUGCUCGCGUUAUCGGGCCGGAUCGGCGCUGAGGAGAUCGAAGGAAUAGUCGCCGGCGGCGGCGGCGGCGGCGGCGGCGGCGGCGGCGGCGGUGUGGGGAAGUAUACCAGGGAGGAGGUGGCGUACAUGAAGGAGGCGGCGGUAGCGCUGAGAUUGGCGAAGGAGGUGAUUGAGAUGCAGCAGGAGUGGAGGAGCGAGGCGGUGAGGCAUCUGAAUCGGACAGGAGGAUUCUCGAGGUCUCUCGCGAAUUCGGCCACCGAUUGGCCCUGUCUCCUGCUCGAGAUCCUGUCCGAGGCCGCAGAGGUCGGCUUCUUUCAGGUACCAUGAAGUAAAAAAAACCUAUUUUUGGCGUUUGUUUGGCAUUGUUGGUUCUGCAUAUUUUCUAUAUCAUGUUGGUUAUCACCAUGCAAAACAAAGUUGGAGUCGUAUAAGUUGAUGAGAAAAACUUAUUUUUGCAGCCAAAGUUAAUUUUGAACAACAUUGAUGUCCUGCGGAAGGCGUCCUCGACGGAUGACGUGAUGGUGCCCCCCACAAUGUACCAUGACAGUUUGAUAUGGAGAGUGAUCGCACUCGGUGCAAAUGUGAGGUGCUUGCCAGUUAUUCUCGUAUCUUCGGAUGGGUUGGUCUCUCACAUCCUCUCUUUUCGGCUUUGCAUACAUAUUUCCUUUUUUAUCUGGCGUCUGAUAUUGGACUUUUGCCUUUUGUAGAAAGAAUUAUUAGUCGAGUUCACUACCAUUUGUUUUUGAAUGCUUACUUUGAUACUUUCAUCGCCAUAAAAGCUUCAGUCGAAUCCAAAUUCUGAUGUUUUGUGGGAAACAGCAUGCCUUACAUUUGCCAUCCAUUUUACAGUGACACACAUUGCUGAGACCUUGUGAUGCUGAUGCAUUUAUAGUUCUCAAGUAGUAUUAUGUAUUAAGAUAUGUGUGCUUGAAAUCACAUAUUUUCUGUUGAAUCGCCAGCUUUUCUAUAUUGUUGAAUGGAACUCAUUUAUGCUCUAGAUAAGGUGUGGAAAACAACACAUUUGAAGAUUGAUCAUCGCAAACUCGUUUGAAUUACUCAUUGAUCUUGCUCUCAGUUUGAAUGCUUUUAGUUGUUAUUCUUUGGAACUAUUAGUAUUGUCCAUGAUUAUGCUCUACCAUUAUAACUAGGAUUUCAGUAUGAUUUGCAACUAACGUAGCCUGACAUUUGGAAACGUAAUGGGGAACAAAAGUUUCUCCUUUUCCCCUUUAUCUUUUGGUGCCUCUGUCCUUAUCUUUUCACAUAUUUACAUGUUUACUUUCUGCAGUGACUGAUUGUUUCACCUUUCUAAUGACUUUGUACUUUUUAAAUGGUUCUGCAUACUGUUGCUGACGUAACUGUCAUAAAUGUUGUUUAGAUUAUGCUAAUACAUUUUUUUUAGUUAUAGAUAGCGAUUAUGUUCAAUUUGCUGUCCCCAAACUAGAACCAGUUCAAAAACUAAGACUAGUGUGAGUAAUAUAUGAAGUUGGAAAUGUGUCAGUUAUGAUGAGAUUAUGAGCCUAUAGUUUGAAUCUUGUCUAUUCUGAAGGAUAUAGACUGUUAGAACCUUUUGGUUCUACCUUGGGAUUUCAAUUUUCAAUCACGCUGUGAUGAGGAUCCUUCACAUGCGAGUCGAGCUGGCAUCAUUUAUAUUUAUAUUCCAUGAUCUGAUUUCAUUUUCGUUGUUUCUUUUGAGGGAAAAAAAAAUUCCAGCUUCUUGGACUUGCCGCAAUGAAGGAUGAGCCUUUUUAUUAGUGCACUGAACAAUUAUCAAUGCGAUAUAUGUUAAACCUUUCUUAGUAUUGAUUUCUUAACUUUUGCUAUUUCAAAAUUUUGCAGUUAUUAUUCUUACCAAGCAUUUGUUGAUUUUGGGUUCCCGGAUAUAUUUAUCUCGCGAGAGGUAUGUUUAUUAUGCUUUUUUCAACUAUAUCUGUUUUCUGAAGUUCUUAUUUUAGUAGACUAUGGGUAGGUGUUAUCUGGUCUUAAUUUUAAGGUCUUCAGUAAAUGUUAUUUUUGUGCAACUCGGACUUAUUAUCAUUAUCUUUGUGCUUUAUGUGACAAUGCAAAGACCUUCGGCUGGACUCCUCAGGAAGCUAAGCUGCACAUGGUCUCUGAUUUCUUCAGUGAUCAUGAGGUAGUAAUCCUUUCUACCAUUUCUUUUAUUUUAUAUUUUAUUGUUUACCACCAUUUUGCUUGAUGCUUUACAUUCCUAUCUAUUUCUGUGUUGCAUAUUCCAUGCAAUAAUUUUGCAUUGAUCUUUAUUGAAGUUGUAGUGGAAAGUUAUAGAUGAGGUUCUUGGUCCAAACCAACGGCAACUUUCUGAGCUCUAUAAGCUUAAGCAAAGCAUGAAUUAUCAGGAGUAAGUAGAUUGCUCAAUUUUUUUCUUUUUUUUUGAGUACCGUGCUCAAAUUUUUUCUGUCUUUUUCUUGAGAGUAAUCAAUUUCUAGUAUUCUUCCUUCUCGGAACGUUUAUGACUGCUUUGUUUGUUUUGUUUUCUUAAAUUUUGGUUGGGUUUUAUCUGAAUGACUUUAAACUGAAUGCCUUAGUUUUUGUUUCGGUUAUACUUUUCAAGUCAAAUAGCUGUUGAAAUGGACUGAACAUGUUUCGAUGAUUAUCAACUUUUUUCUGCCUUUUUCUUAAGAAUCAUGACGCACACGAGGAAUCGCAACACAUUAGCUGUUAUUAGUUGAAAAGAAACAGUAUUAUAUUUGCUCCUAAAUUAUAGUUGAGGAACCUAACCGAUCCGAAACUCCGAAUAAAUUGGCUCCAUUUUUCGUCAAGAACCUAACUGUUUUGAAGUUGCUCUUUCCCUGGGAUGCUUUUAGCUUGCAAAGUUUGGUGAGUUAACUUCUUAUUUAGAUUUGUGUUUAGCUUUGCACUGUAGGAGUAAAUGUAGUAAUUACAGGGAUAAGAAUGUCGAUAAAGGAUCUCUCUAAAUAUUGAAUAACUAGGAAUAGCUAAAGGGAUAGGACAGUUGCAAUUGUUGAUGGAAUAACAGUUUCAUGUUAUCCUAAAACUCAGUCUUACUAGAGCAACUACCUUUUCACUCUUUUUGUGGCUUUUGGUUGAAUAAGGUAGUUAGUUUUGGUUAUAUUACUGUCCUGUAACCAAACAAUGCCUUGGGAUAAGGAAGUUCGAUGUAAUUUAACCUUUUUUUUCUUAAAUAAAAAACUUACAUGCGACAGAACAGCUAUCUUCACCAUAAGUAAGUUAGCGUGGAUGUAAUUCCUGCUUUUGCUUUUUCAAGUAAACCUGCCUCGUAGAGUAGUGAGGGUGAUAAACCAUAUUACCGCCCUAUCCCCAAAGCAUAAUAUGGCUCGAUAUUUUGCUGAUGUUUAUUUCCAGAUAUAGUAGAUUGAGCAUAAUUUCAUAAACUUGUAAUUCUAGUAUAGACUGAGCUGUCUCAACAAAUUAUGUUUCUGGUAAAAUUGCUUCAUCUGAAUGCUUGUUUUAUUGUAUUGUGUAGUGCAUGUCAUUCUUGGCAUCAUGUUGACUAUCUCCUUUCCAUCUUAGGGCCUUGCAGUAUGGCGGUAAUAUCUUUGAGGAUAUUGUUGAUGCCUACCUGGCAUAUUUACAGGUGAAUAGAUUCUCACAUCAAUUGAGCAUUUACAUCAUUCCAAAAUAUGAGCUAUGCCAUCUGUUGAGUCAUCUUAUUAUCAUGUCAUCUCUGCUCGGAAUGUAGCAUUUCUCUUUAUUACGGAAUAGUGAAUACUCAAAUUUGAUUCCUGUCGUGAGAGUAUUUUCUUAUUUAUACUAUCCAAUACCUGCAAAACCUAUUAUGUCAAUCUUGCUAUUUCGUGCACUGUUGUGCAAACUUUGCUAGUGUUUUUUACUAAGAAAUUGAUGGCAUCAAGGCAUUAUGUAAUUUUACAAAGCUAGCAAGACUUGAUUCCAUGGGAAAAUGGGAAAUAUCUGCUUCAAAAGAUGAUAAUGGUACCUUGGUACCUAUUUACUAAUGUUCCUGUUAAGGAAACCAUUCUCUUACACUCUUUAUUGUGUUUUCCAUGCUCCCCACAAUUUAGGUUUCAUAUUAAGAAAGGAAUCUUUGAAUAUAUAUAUUUUUCUUAUUUCUUCGUUCUUUAUUAGGUGGCUGUGGUGAACCCUGCAAUGGAAUCAGCAUUAGCUAUUAUACAGAAGUUCGCUUCGGACGUGCGCAAGGGAAUAAUUCCGGAAGGCCGAUUAUUUUUUGGUGCUCCUUGGAGACGCCCCCCGCGUUCUGAAGACCCUGAUGCUUCUUUGAAUUGGGCAAAAAUUCAACUAAUGGACUUUGUCCAAUCUUAUAUAAAUACAGAGUUCGGGGUAAUAGCUUUAUCCUUUGCAGUAGAAUAAGUAAUAGCUUAGCCUCAAUUUUGGUCUCUUGUGUUUCAGUUGAUUUGCUACAUCAUCUCAUGAUCAUAUUAAUAGAAAUUUUCUUAAAUUUUCUAUUAACCGUGUAGGUGAAUUAUCUAGCAGAUGAUAGCUUUGAAGUGCUGGAGGAUCCUGCGACAGUCGCCAUGUUGGAGGUAUGAACAGUUGCAAUCAGUUUCUCAUGUUAUGUCUCUGAGACCAGACCUGAUGCUUUUUUGCCUGUUACUCCAUUUUAAGAAAUGCAGCCGAUCUUAUAUCGUAUCUUCUUGCUAGGUUGGUUUACUCUACACCCAGCGAGAUCCGUCCUUUAUUCGCCCAAUAACUCGUGGUAUUCAGAGGUGUCUUGCGAGAUGGUCAGUGAUUGUACUUAAAAUAUCACUAACUUAGAUUAAAUGUUCUUACGUUAAAAAUUAAUUCACUAUAUCUUGCGAUGUUCUCUAGGCUUGUUCAGCAAAAGAUGCAGAUGAGCCUUCGAGAAUCUGUACAAUAUGGAUGGCAACAAGUGUUCCGUGGCCGGAGCUAUCGCCAUUUGAUGAAGGAGAUCGGCUAUAAGUAGACUAGAAAGGUAACUACCGAGUCCACAGGGCCACAAUCUACGUUCGUAUGCACCUUCAACUUACUGUCCAUUACUUUCAGGCUGUUUUUUCAAUCAAGAUAUUGUUGUUGAGGACUCUGGUCCUCUCGGGCUCGGAAGCAAAUUGUUUCUGCUUUUCUACCAUCUUUUGACAGCAUUCCGGACACAUUGUGGAACUGUAGAUGGAUCAUCUGUUAUUUACGUUCUGGUGAGUUCAUCCGUCAUACAUUCUCAUCGUAAUUUCUAGUCGACUAUGCAUCUGUUCCAUGGAGGCAAUGCUCUCUCAUGCAGCGAAAAAAGCACAAAGUUUGCCUAUCAAUAUAGUUCGGUAAAACUCGUGGAUAAACAAACACUUCUGUAGCUACAUUUUUGCUCGUGCGAAUAUGCAGCAGUUUUUCCCCCCCCAAGCUAUUCCAUUACUACAACCUGCUUUAAUGUUAUUUCCUUUCUUCCUUUUUCUUUUUUUCUUCAGAAUCUAUGUUUAAGAAUCAUCUGUGGAACUUCCUCGGGUUGCCGAAUAAGGAAUUAUACUGGUGGAUUCAAUUAAGCUGAGCAGGUCCCAGAAAAGAGAGAGGGAGAGAACAUGAAGCACUUUCGACGAGUAUAUUUAGUUGAUUUUUUUUGAACUGCUGUUUAUUUGUUGAGAAUCACUUUUGUUGUACUUGGCUAUUGUUUUUCCAGCAGUGUUCUUCAUGCAUUAACAUCAAUGCAAAAAUAUAUUGUGGAAUGAAUCUCCUCUUCGACUGGAAAAUAUUAUGUAAAUCUUUUCCUUUUUUUUUUCCUUAAAAAAGAAAACUUAUUAGUUUCGCCACCGGAGUGUCGAAUUAUUUGGAAAUUGUUUUGUUUUCUUUGUUUCGUGAUUGUAAUAAAUGCAUUGCUUCUGUUGCUCUGUUUGUUGGGGCUAAACACUCCUAAUAAUGCAUAUGUUUAGUGGCAUCAGAAUUUGAUAUAAGUUAAAAUUGGUUAUCAUUUUGUUUUUUUUUUUUUUUUGGUUUUCUCAAAUCCUGGGAAAUCAAUUUACCCACAACUAAAUAAGACUUUUAGUGUGUAUUAUUAUUAUUUUUUUAAGGAAAAGGGAAAAGUUCAACUACUUUUUUACUUCGCCAUCUUGUAACUUUCAAAGUUUUAAGUUACUCUUUAAUUCAUGGAAAAAAGUAAAAAUCUGCAGUUAGCUAAAUAGAAUAUUAAAAUUAUAUAAUUUGAAAACUAAGUACAAUGAAAGUGUUACGCUUUAUGAACCAUACAGCAGCGAAAAUAUAGGCUAUGGCUACUAUACUAUUAUGAGUAUUAGAGUCUUUAUACUCAUAAGUUGUUUUCAAUGAUGGAGCUUUCGAAUCGACGAUCCACUCCGUUAAAUAUGAUCUAGAGUAUUUGAAACUUCUAGAAAAUAAAUUUCGUAAAUUUUUGAAAUCAUAAAAAAGUCCAUCAAGUGGGCAUGAAAUGAACGGUUAAAAUCGACGACGUCCUAAAAAAGAAUGAUCGGAUCCUUCAAUUCAAGAUCGGAGUUAUUGAUCUUUAUCUAUGUAGUGAAUAGAAUUUUCUACCAAAAAUUCAACAAAUUCCGAUCCUUUUACACCGUUAAACUAGCAAGUAUUCCAUACCGGCCGUUAAAAAUUGUCAAAUUUGUGACCUCUUGAUCGUAAGGUAAAUGAUGUCGAAAAAUUAUAAAAUUUGAUUUCUAGAAGUUUUAAAUGCUGUAAAAAACGUUUAACGGUGUGGAUUGUUGAUUCGGAAGCUCUAUCAUCGAAAACAACUUAUGAGUACGAGGGCGAUCGUACUCAUAAUAGUAUAAUAGCCGGACCCGAAAAUAUAUAUCACUAGCCUAUAAUUUGUACUUUUUGUUGAUCUCAUAUACUUUUAACAGUAUAUCUCAUUAAGUCUUCUUCACUGAUUUUGCACAAAUCGUGAGACAGAUCCGAUGAUGACUAAAAGAUCACAAAUAUGUUGAACUCCUGUGCUAUUAAAAGCAUGGGAGCUCAACUCUUGUACUUUACCAUCUUGUGAUUAAUUAUAUUAUUUUUUCCACCCUUUUCUAUGAACACUUUUCUCAAAGGGUAACCAAAAUAAAAAAAGUAAACUUCAAAUACCGUUCCUAUGAUUUCACACUUUCCCAUUUUAGUAUUCCGUAGUUUAAAGUGUAUCAAUUUAAUGUCCUGUAGUUUUAUUUUUCUCUUUUCAUCAGCUACUUCUUUAAUAUUUUAUUAAAUUAUAUACAAAAAACUUCAGAUACCCACCUAAAUUUAUUGAAUAUUCACUUUAGUACCCUUUAGUUUUAACUUUAUCACUGAUUCGAGAAAAAAAAAUAGUAAAAUUAAUAAUAAAAAAAAAAAAAUAAAACCACAUUGCACUAAAUUGAUACAUUUUAAACCACAUGAUACUAAAGUGAGAAAGUACGAAACCACAUGGGUGGUAUUUGAAAUUUUCCCAAAAUAAAACCACAA